rnacentral:lncRNA from 1 species
AUUUAUUAGGAGAGAUAACCACAAUCGUUAGAUCUUAGAAACAAUUUAGUAACACCUAGAAAUUACCCACUAUGCCCUAAGCUUUUCUCCACGCCUCUUGUAUCUCACAAAGGUACCCAAAAAAACACGGAUCAGAAAAAGGGAUCAAUCAUGGGACGUGGCUCUCCAUCCCUCUCGCCGCCGCCGUGAACGCAUCGUUCCUUUGCCAUGUCGAUCAUGCAUCGUCGCCAUGGGAUGAGUGGAAAGUUUCCACUCUUCCAUCAAUUCCAUUGCCAGGUAUGUUUUCCCACAAAUGUCUACGUCUCCAUGUAUGAUUAGUUGACAUUGAUUCCGUGAAUCCAUACUACUGCUUCUGUAGGCGUCUUCCCUUUUAAAUCCAUCUUCAAUUUUCAUCACCUGGCCUCGAUCCUUGCUUGCAUAUCAGAAAAUGUGGAGUUUGGGAUUGCAAAGGUGCUUAAAUAAUCAUGAUGGUUGCUGCAUACAUUGAUUUAGGAUUUUUCUUUGCUCCAUGCUUCAAAUAUUUGUUUCUCCUUUUUGCUGUGUGAUGCUAAGAAUUAACAAUGAAAUUUUGCACGAGCAAGAAAUUAACACAGGGAUGAAGGACAAUAUUAUACUGUAUCUAACAAGCAAUGGCCAUAGAGAACACAUAAUAAUUAGUGCCAAUCAAUAGAUACUUAAUGUUUCAUCCAAUCAAAAGUCUAUGCAGAGAACCGAAAAGACAACCUAUUGUAGGAUAUGUCUAUAGUGCAGUCCAUACUAAUAUACAUGCUCUGAGAAGUUAACAACUUGACAUGUAUAUUGCUUCCUCAUGAUUCAUGAUCUGUAGCUCGAACUAGAAUGAGAGCAGCAGGAGUCAGCAACCCGGUGCCAGUGGCUUGCCUCGGACAUUCCUGCUCGGAGAGCACCCCAUUGUGUCUCCUACAUGAGGAUGUAUGCUCUAGACUGGACAAACGAGUACCAGCAGCAGGUGCGCCGUACCAUAACAAAUGCCACUGUAUGUCUUAGGUGAUUAAGUUAAUCUGUUUACUACAAUGUCCUACAAGAAGUAGGAUGAAGCUAAGUUCAGCGCUCCUGGGCAGCAAGUCAAUUAAUCCCGGCAACAUCCAGACUCUGCAGGUCUGGUUGCGGUUUGUAGGGGCCCCGUCUAAGCCUUUGCAGGAUGUUCGAGUUGUGGCCAGUUUGGGUACGUUGGUUGGGAAAACGGAGAGAGUUGAUAUGGCUUUUACUCGGGCUCAUGGAGUGGCCCGGCUUUUAGUCAGUGUUCUGGAUAUUGAGUUCGUGCCUGACGUGGUCAACUGGACUUAUAGGGGUGAGGUGUUCCCCCUCGAUAUUGAGUUUGAGGACACAUAUCUGUUUGCAGAUGCGGUUAAUGGGAAUGAUGUUGAUAUGCAUGAGGGUGAUGGCGAUGCGGGCGCCAAUGGGCCACAGACCGAUGGGCCGACACGAGAGGGGUCUAACGGCUCUCGCCCAGUUGCUCAGUUGCCCGGGGAGGGGACCGGGGUUGAGCCGGCAGCAUCGCCAUCGGUGCCUAUGACCUCGUUGCGGUUCGGGUCCUUUGAGCCAGCAUCAGCGCCACCUAGACUUUGGAGUGACCGGGUGGAUUCUGAUGAUUUGUUUGAGCGCACGCUUCCUCUAUUGGAGUUUGAGGGGGCUGGCGGUUCUGGACGCUUGGUGAGGGCUUCAUCGGCGAGGACUCUGGAUGGAGUUGGGGUGGGGGAGCCGGAGGUCGCUUCUCUUUCCCUUCCUCCUCUGGUGGUCGAGGCUCCGGUGCGGAUUGCUACCUGUGAGCUGGUGUUGGGGGGCGGGGGGUCAGGGCAGGAGGCCUUGACGUCUCCUCUCCAUAUCCCGACGCCGGUGACAUCGGUCACAUUGGGGUUGGCCAACGCCGGGGGAGGAAGCCCGAGGCAGGUGUCCUCGGCUCCUGCUACUCCGGUGGAGGCAGCGACACCUGCGCCAUCUGCUGCGUUGGGGGAGGGGCUGGGGCAGGAGGCCCUGGCUCAUCCUUCUUCCCCGGUGGUCUGGAGGACCGCCUCUUCUUCACCGACGACUCUUCCGUCUGCAUCGGCGGAUGGGGCAGGAGGAGGGAGCGGGCAGGCGGCCCUCGUCAUCCCCUCUCUGUCCGCACCGGUGGCAGUGGACCCCGGCGUGGGCCACCUGUCUGUGGGGCUUGGGAGCCCGCAGCCGCCUCCUCUGGUAACCUCGGCUGACCCUUUGAGGGACUCAGCGCCAGGCUUUACUAGGGAGGAGGUUGUUGCUUUUGGCGGGAUCCCGGAUCUCGUCUCGACAGGGAGACGGAUGAGUGCUCGCAUACACGAGCUCCCGGAGGUGGAUGAUAUGCAGCAGCGGUGCGCUAUGAGGGCGGCCAAGCUUCAGGAGGCUGCAUCAUCUUAUGGUUUGUCCGUCAACAUUUCUAACUCUUUAUUGCAUUUUUCUAAUGAGGAGAUUAUAAAUAAUGCAAACCAGUUAGGAGUUUCACUAGGUGCCACGGAUAGUGAGAUCACUAAUUCGGUCAAUGAUCUGUUAGAUUUGGAGGCGGAACGUGUCUUAGAGACUAUUCGUAAUCUUGCAGCAGUUAAACCGAUGAAUGAUGAUGAGAUUGAUGCAUUAGGGGUUAGAGUGCUAGAUAAUCUGUGUGCGGAUCUAGCACCUCCAAAUCAUGUGUCUGAGGAUGAUGAUGUACCCAUCGAGAAUGAUGCUGAUAAUUUAAGUGAACCCGGUUAUGAGGACCGAGCGGCAGAGCCUAGUAAACCAAAACGUAAGUGGAAACGGAAGAUCUAUCCUGAUUCCGCAGUGCGUAGGAGUGCUAGGAUUCGAAUCACUAAAAAAUUCCAUGAUGAAAUAUGAGAGGAAUCUUUUGGAAUAGCAGAGGUCUGAAGAACUUGGCUAAAAGAAGGUUCCUUGCUGAGGCAGCUUUAGAGCAGAAGUUAGAUUUUGUUGCUCUAUCGGAGACUGGUAGAUAAAACUUUGCGCCCCAGUUUCUUUCUUCUCUUGUGGGUGGUAUUGAUUUCGAUUGGCAUUGCCUCCCUCCACGAGGAAGAUCGGGUGGUAUCUUACUCGGUGUGAGAUGCGAUUCGCUUGAAGUCCGAAGUGUAGUGAUGGGUAACUUCGCGGUGAAGUUUCAAGUCAGGUAUAAGAUAGAUGGUUUUAACUGGGCUUUGGUGGCGGUUUAUGGUGCCGCACAGCCCGAGCUUAAACCGGAGUUUCUGGCGGACCUUGUUCGAAUCUGUGGGUCAGAACAGCUUCCAAUUUUAGUUGGAGGUGAUUUCAAUAUCAUCAGAAGGAGAGAGGAGAAGAACAAUGAUAACUUUGACGGCAGAUGGUCGUUUAUGUUCAAUACCAUUAUUGAAAGCUUGGAUCUGAGGGAGAUAGAGCUUUCUGGUAGAAAGUUUACCUGGGCUAAUGCUCUGCCAAACCCGACUUAUGAAAAACUUGAUCGAGUUCUUGCGAGCGUGGAGUGGGAACAAAAGUUCCCUCUGGUUACGGUGCAAGCUCUCUCGAGGGGAAUAUCCGAUCACACACCCUUGUUCGUCGACUCAGGGGAGCCGAAACACGUGGGUAACAAGAACACCUUUUCUUUCGAGAUGUCAUGGUUCGAACGCGAGGGGUUCUUGGACUUGAUUGCCAGGGAAUGGGCUAGAGGUGCAAGAGGCACGACUGCGAUCGAGCGUUGGCAGAAUAAGAUUAGGCAUUUGAGAAGUUUCUUACGGGGUUGGGCUAAGCACCUCAGUGGUGUGUAUAAGAUUGAAAAGGAUAGACUCCUUUCUCUCAUACAGGCCCUCGACAUAAAGGCCGAAUCCACUAUUUUACUGCCUGAUGAGCUUCAGGUUAAAAAUGAGGCAGAGAGGAGGUUGAAAGAACUGCUCCGCGAAGAAGAAUUGAAGUGGGUUUUGCGUGCUAAAGUACGCAAAGUGGUCCAAGGGGACGCGAAUACUCAAUUCUUCCAUUUGAUAGCUAAUGGUAAGCACAGAAAGAAGCGUAUCUUUCAGCUUGAACAAGACGAGGGCACUACUUUAGGAUAGGAUCACCUAAAAACAUAUAUUACCGAAUAUUACAAGCAGUUAUUUGGACCUCCGGAGGAUAAUUGUGUAUCCCUCGAUGAGUCCAGGACUGAGGAUGUGCCUCGGCUAUCGGCUGCUGAAAAUGAUAUUCUGGUUGCCCCGUUCUCAGAGAAGGAGGUGUUUGAUGCUAUUGCACAGAUGAAAAACAAUAAGGCUCCCGGACCGGAUGGAUUCCCGGCCGAGUUCUAUAAAAAGUGCUGGCACAUUAUUAAGGGGGAUUUGCUACUAUGUUCCAUGAUCUGUUUUCUGGACAGCUUCAGUUAUUUCACUUGAAUUUUGGAACUAUCACACUGCUUCCUAAGAAAACGGAUGUUGUGAGAAUUGAGCAAUUCAGGCCAAUAUGCCUCCUCAAUGUUAGUUUCAAAAUUUUCACCAAGGUAGGGACUAAUAAACUCACACAUAUUGCGCAUUCUGUGGUGCAACAGUCCCAAACUACUUUCAUGCCGGACAGAAAUAUCCUUGAAGGGGUGGUCGUCCUGCAUGAAACGCUCCAUGAAAUCCAUUCCAAAAAAUUAGAUGGAGUAAUUUUUAAGGUGGAUUUCGAGAAAGCGUACGAUAAGAUCAAAUGGCCAUUCCUCCAACAGUCAUUGCGUAUGAAAGGUUUUGAUGAAGUCUGGCGCCGACAGGUUGAAUCAUUUACGCAAAAAGGUAGUGUGGGAAUUAAUGUUAAUGACGACAUAGGUCAUUAUUUCCAGACACAUAAAGGCCUAAGACAAGGAGAUCCGAUGUCCCCUAUCCUGUUUAACAUUGUGGUGGAUAUGUUAGCAAUUUUGAUAGGAAGGGCUAAGGAAAAUGGUCAAGUAGGUGGAUUGGUACCUCAUCUCGUUGAUGGAGGUGUAUCCAUCCUUUAGUACGCUGAUGAUACAAUUAUCUUUAUGGAGCAUGACUUGGCCAAGGCGAGAAAUAUGAAGCUUGUGUUAUGCCUAUUUGAACAAUUGACCGGGUUAAAGAUUAACUUUCAUAAGAGCGAGCUGUUCUGUUUUGGUAGAGCCAAAGACGAACAUGAGGCUUAUAGGCAAUUGUUUGGGUGCGAGUUGGGAGAGUUACCCUUCUCUUACCUGGGUAUUCCAGUCCAUCAUCGUAGGCUGACAAACAAAGAGUGGAAGUGCAUUGAGGACCGAUUUGAGAAGAAACUGAGUUGUUGGAAGGGUAAGCUCAUGUCAUACGGAGGCCGAUUAAUCCUGAUUAAUUCGGUGCUCACGAGUAUGCCUAUGUUUCUCCUAUCGUUCUUUGAGGUCCCAGUUGGUGUUAGGAAGAGACUGGACUUCUAUUGAUCGCGUUUCUUUUGGCAGGGUGAUGAGCUUAAACGAAAAUAUCGGCUUGCUAAAUGGGAUAUCAUCUGUAGACCGAAAGACCAAGGAGGUCUCGGUAUUGAGAAUCUAGAAGUUAAGAAUAGAUGCCUUCUUAGCAAGUGGCUGUGGAAGCUCUCAACGGAGAAUGAUGCCAUGUGGGCUCAAAUCCUUCGUGCCAAGUACCUCCAGACAAAAACUUUGUCCCAGGUUACAGUCAGGCCGACUAAUUCACCUUCCUGGAAAGGUCUGGUGAAAGUCAAACAAUCUUUCUUUAAUAGGAUGAAGUUUGUUAUUGGAAACGGCUCUAGUACACGUUUCUGGGAGGAAACUUGGCUCGGCGAGACACCUUUGGCCAUCCAAUAUCCGUCUUUAUACCGUAUUGUUCAACAACGUGAAGUGUUCGUCGCCUCGGUAUUUCAAUCUAUCCCCCUUAAUAUUCAGUUCCGACGGGCGCUAGCGGGCAAUCGUUGGGAAGAAUGGCUCCGUUUAGUUAGGAGACUGAUGGAGGUCCAACUAUCUCAACAACCCAAUGAAUUACGCUGGAAAUUGACUAAGUCUGGAGUAUUCACUGUUAAAUCAAUGUAUAUUGAUGUUAUUAAUUCGAACUCCAUUUCUACCUCUAAGCAUGUGUUCGACGGGUUUUUGUGCACAGCUGCAUAAAAUAAUAAUUUUAUUAGUGAGUUUUGGUGCAGGGCAAUUUAUAUGCAAAGGUAAGUUGUUAAUAAUACAAAGACAAAAUUGUUUUAGCAUGGCACAAGCGUGCAUGGCAAGCUCCCCACGUUCUUGCACAUGCACGUGCAUGAAAUCAAACUUGGUACAAGUAAUACGUGUGCAUGCAUGUCCUGUCCACAUGCACGUAGGGUAUAUGUAGUGGUCUAGCAUUGUACAUAUAUGUAUUCGGUAUUUGGGUGUCUCGAUCGGCCGGCAAGCUCGCGUGUAUACAUACCCGAAUACCCGUUCAUACAUAUACAUCAUGUAUGUAUGUAUUUAAGUAUCUACAGGCCGUUCGGCAAGGGCACACCUACGUAUCCGAAUACCCAAUAUACAUGUACUAUGUAUCCUUCUUUUUGAUGUUCGGACAGGUACAUAAAAUAUGUGUGUGUCUUGAUGGGUGUGAACUACAUCUAGCACGUACGAGGAUUGGAAUUAUAUGACCGAGGGCAAUCGGAUCCAUACAUAUAUUCGGCAAGCCAUCAGAGUUUUGGAAACAAAUGCAACCGACCUCAAGGAUUGUCAAAGAAGAGCAUGGUUUUUUGUAGGCCGAGCUAUGUGGUACCUCCUAUCUAUGCCAUUCACUAAACCGUCCUGUUCCUAGAGAUUCACGCAACAGCUGACCGGUUUUGCAGGGUUGAGUAAUUUGUUACGCAAAUCUAAAGCUGAUCAAUUUUGUCAGAAUCUGCCUGCGUGUAGGCCCGUGACUACUCCCACCUCUACUCUCUCCUAGAGGAGUUAAUUGCACAGAAAUACCAUAAUUGAGGCAUCACAUGCAGAUUGGUACCAUGAUUGCUAAUUUUUGCGUGUCAGUACCAACAUUGAUCUAAGUUUUUGCAAAUUAGGCUAAAAUACGUAUUUAUACGUAUUGACGGUGUAUCUGACCGAUGGGGCCCGCCCGUUAGGUGCCAACGUGGCAUGUUUUUUUGCAGAAAACCCCCUUAUGUUAUAUAUAAUCACAAAAAUGCCCAAUUUUUUUGCGGGAAAAAGGCUCCAGGAGAGGAUUUUUUUUGUUCGCAAUUUCCACCAUCGAAUCUGGACUGGUUUGAAAUUUUCCGCCACUUGAACAAAUAAAUAAAAGGAAAGUAAAAAUCAGGGCCGGCGGGAAUCGAACCCGCGACCUGUAGUGCACAGGCGCCACGGGCUAACCACAACGCCAAAGCGCAGCUCACGUUCCUCUACAGGCGUCUCCUUUCUUAUAAUGCCUGAAGCGCUGGGCCGGCCCACCGAGGCCUGCAUUUUUUUUUCGUUUCGCACUUAACUGGCGCGCGUGUUGGGCUCGUUCCUUGCCCUGGUUACUAUUCAUUUCAUUUCUCUUAUGCUUUUAUAAUGCGCGGUGAACAUUUUUUUUAAAUAUACGCUGAACAAAUCCUCAAAAAAAUAUACGCUGAACACUUUUUCUGCUUAUAGUGAACAUUUUUCAAUGUACGAUGAACUUUUCUUUACAAACGGUGAACAUUUUCUUAAUAUAAUAAACUUUGGUAAUAUCCGUUGAACAUAUUUGAAAUGCAAAUUGAACAUUUUUGUACUAUAGGUUGUUCAAUUUUCUUACGACAAGGAACAUUUUACUUAAUUCGAGGUAACUUUUUUGUAAUUUAUGGUGACAUUUUAUUAAUACACGGUGAGUUUCAAGAUUAUUAUGUUGAAUAUUUUCUUCAUACAUGAUGAAAUUUUUGUAUUUCACAAAAUGUUCAGUAUAUAUUAAAACUUAUUGUGUAAAAUCAAUUUGCAUUUCGAGAAACACUUGAUUAUUAUAAUAAAAAUUGAAAAGUUUUAAUGCAUUUCUAAAAUUUAUUAUGAUUACACAAUUAUUUUUAAUACAUGUUCUGCGCCAUGUUUCAAAAAUUUAAUGCAUUUAAAAUUUUAUGUUCAACUUUUAAUGCAUUGAUUGCAAGAAUGAUUAAGAAACCGGGGCAAAAAGUUCUUGAAACUCUUCAUGUAUCAAGAAAAUGUUCACCAUAAAUUACAAAAAAUUCACCGCGCAUUACGUAAAAUGUUCAUCAUAUCUUAAGAAAAAGUUCAAGUUAUAUUACAAAAAUGUUCGAUUUGAAUUUAAAAUAUGUUCAGCGUUUAUUAAUGGAGAAAGUAUUAAUCAUUCGCAAAGAAAAUUUGACAACCUGUAUUAAAAAUAAUUGUGUAAUCUUAAUAAAUUUUAGAAAUGCAUUAAAACUGUUCAACUUUUAUAAGAAAAAAUUGACGUGUUUCUGGAAAUGCAAGAAUGAAUUUUACACAAUAAAUUUUUAAUACAUGCUGAACAUUUUUUGAAAUGCAAAAAAUUUCACCAUGUAUUAAGAAAAUAUUCACUAUAAAUAAAAAAUUGUGUGAUCAUAAUAUUCUUGAAACUCAUCAUGUAUUAAGAAAAUGUACACCAUAUAUAGAUUACAAAAUGUUCACCGCGCAUUAUAAAAGCAUAAAAGAAAUGAAACGAAUAGUAACCGGGGCAACGAACGAGCCCAACACGCGCGCCAGUUAAGUGCGAAACGAAAAAAAAAUGCAGGCCUCGGUGGGCUGGCCCAGCGGUUCAGGCAUACUAUAAGAGAGGAGACGCCUGUAGAGGAACGUGAGCUGCCCUGUGGCGUUGUGGUUAGCCCGUGGAGCCUGUGCACUGCAGGUCUUGGGUUCGGUUCCCGCCGGCGCCUGAUUUUACUUUCCUUUUAUUUAUUUGUUCAACUGGCGGAAAGCGGAAAAUUUUAAAUCAGUCCAGAUUCGAUGGUGGAAAUUGCGAACAAAAAAAAAAUCCUCUCCUGCAGCCUUUUUCCCGCAAAAAAUUUGGGCAUUUUUGUGAUUACAUAUAACAUAAGGGGGUUUUCUGCAAAAAACAUGCCACAUCGGCACCUGACGGGCGGGCCCCAUCGGUCAGAUACACCGUCAAUACGUAUGAAUACACGUUUUAGCCUAAUUUGCAAAAACUUAGACCAAUAUUGGUACUGACACAUAAAAAUUAGCAAUCAUGGUACCAAUCUGCAUGUGAUGUCCGAAUUGUGAUACUUCUGUGCAAUUAACUCCUCCUAGAGUCUACUGCAUGCAAGAUUUAAAAACAGGUACGGUGCGAGAAAGAAUAUUGCCGGCUCUCUCUCUCUCCUUCAUCUUCCUUUCUCUCUCAAGCCUCUCACAGCCACACACUCUCUCUUCUUCUUCCUGUCCUUUCUCUCAAGCGGGCCUCUGAUUCUUGGAGAGAGAGAUCCCUUCCUCAACAGCACCCCUCUCUUUUAUUUUUGUUCCCACGCACAACACUUAUCUCUUCUCACAACACCUCUCCUUUUCUCUUCUCCUAUUCUCUCUCUCUCUUCUCCUUUUUCCUCAGCAUCAGCAGCAGUACCGGAAGGACGUCCGACGAGCUAUAUAUCUGCAAGGAGAUGAGGCGGACUGGUGUGCUACCGAUAGGAGAAGAUGGGCGGCUGAAAAGAUGUGUCAGAGGUGAGUGCCACGACCCACAAACUCCAGAAACAUGUGGACUCGACAGGACUAGCAUGCAAGGAAUCUCACAACUGUCCACGUAGCAUGCCUUUUUCAGACUAAUCACACUGUGGCUACAGUGAUACUACUGCUGAUGCUGGUACUAGCAUAAGCUGUGGCACCGAUAAAGGGUACCAUGUAGGACGAGCUACAAAAAAACUUUGUGGUCAAAGAAAGGCAUAUAUGAGGGUACGUAUCACAUAAGUUUCCUAGUUUGGUGCAGGCUUGUGCGUCAAGAAGAAACCAUGGGAAGGAAACCUCUACUCGGAGGCUGCAACGUGGACUCGCCAACAAACCCUAGCACCUCAGCCUAUAAAUGCAUGAGGAGGCAGAGCACGGAGGAGGCUCAGGCAGAAAGCAAAGCCCACGCAGCCAACAAGCCAGAACCCACGCAAAAGAGCAGCACGGCGGCCGCGGAAGAUGUGCCCAAUGCAAACGAGGUUUUGAACUGGAAAGGCAGGAGAAGAAGAGCCGUGGGAGGCAGCAUCGACGAGAGGAGAAGCACCCGUGGUGCAGCGUCAAGGAGAUCCGGCGGACGCGCACCACGUCGGAGAUGGUGCUGGCUACGUUCCAAGCUAUGUGAUGGGCCGACGGCUGCGACGGGGGCGCUGCAAGGCGCGGCCUACGUGUUCGCUGCCACGUGCUGAUCGCAGCGGCGCCGGGCGGAAGCUUCGCGACAGUAGAGAAGAAGAACGCGUCCGCGGGGACGGCGGCAGUGGCCGCGUUGCCGAUGGCAAGCAGACACUCGGCGAGAUGAAGAACAGGCAGCAACGCAUGCCUUGCUGACUCCUUUGAUAUAUAGUAUAUAUGUGUGUGUGUUUUUGUCAGUCAGGUUUCACGCGAGAGGCACGCGGGACGGCUCGCGCACUAGGAGGGACCUGCCACCGCAACGAAGGGAGACCCAGGAGAUGCGCGCCCGUGGUGGUGGCGUUCAGAAGAUCUGGAUGGAUAUGCCACCCAGCAAGAGAUGACGUCCGCAGCUGCGGCAACGGUGCGGCCGAUCAGACGAUGCCCUCAUCUAUUUGUUUGUUUCUUUGUCUCAAUGUUUUAUCAGGUUUCAUGGGAGGCGCUCGCACCCUCGACGACACGCACCUGUGGUGGCAGCAUCGGGAGAGACCGCAGAAAGAGGAGAGAGAACUCACCACAUCGCAGCUAGUCGGCGGAAGAUCACGUCGCAGCAACCCACCUAUGCAGCCAACGCACCAAGACGCACGCAGUGCCGUGUAUCAUUGAGGCAAGAGACGUGCCCUGGCGGCAGCUUCGAGGUAUCGAGGAGAAAGGACGCGCCCGUGGCGGUGGCACGGGCGCCGAGCAUCGGUGUGGCAGCCGCCAUGCACAUAUGACCGCCACGGGCGCCGAGCAUCGGUGUGGCAGCCGCCAUGCACAUAUGAGGAUGUACUCCAAGUAGGUAACCGAGCAUCCAGGAGGGCGCAUACACCAUGUGCAACGACGCUACAAUAAUUUUUUUUCUGUGUUAUCAUCUAUUUUCCAGAAUGACCUUUGCAUGACGCGCCUAUCAGAGGUGGCCGAGGACGAUGCAACGCUCUUCUUAGGAGCAGUUGAGGAGGCGAAUGACGCGCCCAACCAAGGUGCCCGCGGAGGAAGAGGUGCUCUUCUUAUACAUGUUUCGUCGAGGCGGCGGACGACGCGCCCAGCGAAGGUGGCCGCGGAUGAAGAGGCGCUCUUCUCGUACCAGGUGUUGUCGAGGCGGCGGACGACGCGCCCAACGAAGGUGGCCGCGGAUGAAGCGGCGCUCUUUCUCAUACCAGAUGCAAUGAAGACGGCGGCGCCCUCGCGCUCACGAAUGCAUGCUAGAACAAGGAGGUCAUCGCCCACUUCUUCAACCCCGGUGACAAGGAGACAAGGAGCUCGCCGCAGCCACCGCCAUCAAGCCGGUGCUGCAGAAGAUAGUGUCGUGGAGCUUGAGGGACGCUGCCAGCGUCCACUUCGUCAAGAUAGUGACUCGGUGGAUGGCGACAUGGAGCUCGCCCGGACGAUGCUCCGUCGUCUUCUUCAUCAAGACGACGCCAUAGAGGACGGAGACGUGGAGCCCGAAGAUGCCGCCACCGUGCCAUGGAGGAUGGAGGCGCGGAGCUCGCCAAGACGACGUCCAUCAUCAACAUCAACAAGCUGGUGCUGCGGUGGACGGAGGCGUGGAGCUCGCAGGACGACACCACCGAUGUCUACCUCAUCCAGACGGAGCGCGCGACGCGGAGUCCAUGAAGAUGACACACGCCCCCGAUGCUGCCCGCAACAUGGAGCCCACGAAACGAAGAAGAUGGUGCUACGCGAUGACACGUCUUCACCGACCCUUACCACGAUCAUGUGAUGUGUUUCCUUUGUCUUGGCGGACCACCGAAUACGGCGUCCAGCCAAGAUGAGGUGCACUCUUCAUGGCGUACAGCACUCAGCGUAGAGGCAGCGUCCCCCUUGUCUUAGCAGACCACCGAAUACGGCGUCUAGCUAGGACGGGGUAUCAACCGCACCUUUCCAUGAUGUCACCUUUCUUCGGCACCACGAUGCUUUGCCCUUGUCUUGUUGGAGCACCGAAUACGGCGUCCUGCCGAGACAAGGUGCACUCUUCAUGGCAUAAAGGUUUCACCAUACAGGCGGUUUGCUCCUUGUCUAGCAGACCACCGAAUACGGCGUCCAGCCGAGACAAGGUGCACUCUUCAUGGCAUAAAGGUUUCACCAUACAGGCGGUGUGCUCCUUGUCUAGCAGACCACCGAAUACGGCGUCUAGUUGAGACGAGGCAUCAACAUGCCCCUCUAAGACGUUACCUCUGACGGCCUUGUGUGGCGGAGUCUUUGUCUCCGCAGAUUGCCGUAACCUCGUCCUCUAGUCGAGACGAGACACCAACCACACCGGCCAUGCCGAUGCGAGCGUGCGUUGGUUUUACACUAACGAUAGUCUCCACAAAAGAAUACUCCCGUGAGGCAACCCCUUGCGUACCCCGACGAAGCCGCUACAUCGUCAAGAAGUCUGAGCCGAGCAGGACCCAUGCAACUUCAACACCGACUGCAUCAACACUGUCAACACCGACUAGGCGCGACGGCGAGGGCGGACGUGGCCAGCACAAAGCCAUGUUUUGAGCGGCACGUGUACCGACGAGGACACGGGCUUUGCCGCCGCCCACACCUACACACACCAUCAUCAUCAUGCAUAGAGAACGCGAAGCGAAGACGACCACACGGCUUAAUCGAAGGUAUCUCGCGGAGCAACCCGCGGGAGUAAUUAACCGGGAGCUUUUCGGGGCCCCGGGAACCAGGAGACCGCACAUCGCCAUAGUCAGGCAGGCCGCGCUAGUAGGCCACGGAGCACAACCAUUUUUUAUGGGAUCUUGUAAUUUUGUUCAUCCAAAGAGAUAAAUGAAAUACUUGUUUCCUGUAUCACUUUUCUUUGUGUACUACGGUACACUGGCACGCCCGCAUUUUUUUUCUUUUUCCCCGGCGCAGGAGAGAAAUCCAUACUCCUUCCCUUCCCUUCAUCCCGAGCGUUUUAAGAUUUUUCUCGUGUCAAACAAAUUGGCACGCCCGGUGGGACCUGGUUUUCCUCCCAUCUUUGCUUCGUUGUGGUCAUCGAAAUCGUCUCCAUCCAUCUCCCAGUUUGUAUAGCACGGUGCAUGAUAAAGAAUCGGCGGGGGGCUCCGCUGAUCAAGGUGUGUUUCAAGAUGGUGGACUUUCCCGUGGCAGCAACUCGAGCCGGUGGUGAUUCAACUUGGAUCAAUACCGUCCAUGACCGUCAUCGAGCUUGGCGCCAAAGUCUACGUGCACCAAGUCUCGGAAUCUGCUUAGUUUCAAACUACGAGUCCAAGAAGGUGCAAAGGCGGGCAACACCCAAGGCAAAGAAGGUGCAUCGUUGAGCUUAUGCUCAAGCCUCGCCCUAUUGAAGGAGUCAACAUGGGAGGACAUCCGUGGAGAUGUGGAGGGAGCUCAAUGCCUCCGCUAUAAUACCACCAACAGGCGAGCAAGUGCGGCUUCCCUUCACGCCUCUACCGCGGCUUCACACUCGGAGCCGCCAACACACCAUGGUGCACCGAGGUCAAGCUGCAUGAAGGCUUGGAGGCCAUCUCCCACAACAUGCGUAGGCUCAUGGUGAAUACUUGCUUGUCCAAAAGCCCAUAUCCUCUACGCAACUAUAGGUGUGCAAGUCCCUAUAGUCUCCAUCAACAUCGAUGAGGUGCAUGGGAGGCAUGCCUCCACAACCUGGCGGUCGAUGGACGAUCAUUUCGCAACGACAAUAGGUUCUCUAUCCUCUCCUGCAAGUCAAUAACACUAGGUGGCCAGGAUUCAAAGCACGGAUCUUCACCAACUCUAGGAAAAUGUGAACAAUAUCCUUAGGCAGCACCACUAUCAAGAAGCGCCGAAUACUUCAUCAAUGCAGGUUGCAGGUAUGAUGAGGCGCCAUUCCCCAAGUCAUUGUCCUCAACAUGAACGCCUCGAUGACAGUCUUCACCAACCCACCACUUGGAGCGGGGGCAUCCUAACAGGCCCCCACGUUGGAACCGGUGGUGAAGACAUCAAGAUGAUGAGAGGAAGCCUAGACCUACUCAACGAUGGCGGCCAUGGGACCCUCCAUGGCAAACACUUCAACCACGACUUAUGUCCCGUUCUAGGCGGGGAGCUCGGUCACAACUCACAAAUCUAGGUGACGGCGGACAAGGCUACAUCAUCCACUCAGUACCAUGCGCCACCCGGGCCUCUGCAGGCGAAGGGUCGUCAAUGCAGGUGCCAACUGGGGCUCGCCCGAGGUGAUACGAGGCACAACCAAGAUGGGGUUCCAUCCACACCAUUGUUGAUAUGGAGCUCGCCCGAGGUGGGGCGCCAUCCACCCCACCACCAACGCGGGGCUUGCCCAAGGCGGGACCCAUCGACAUCACCAUCGCCGACAUGGAAUGACCCCAAGGCGGGGCACCGUCUACACCUCCGUCAACAUGGAUCUCCAUCAGACAUGUUGCCAUUUGCAACUCCCGCACCCAAGGUGGCGCGACAUCUACACUGCCUUCAUCGCGGAGCUUUCCCAAGGCGGGGCGCCAUCUACACCUUCGUUGACGUGGUGCACCCCCAAGGCGGGGCGCCGUCUACCUUCGUCAACACAAAGCUCAGCUAGGCGGGGAUCCCUUUUCACCUCCGUCAACACAGAUUUCGGUGAAGAUGGGGCACCAUCUAUACGUCGCUACCAAUGCGGAGCUAGCUCAAAGGUGGAGCACAUUCUACACCACCAUCGACAAGGAACUCGCAUAAAGUCGGGUGCCAUCUACAUGUCCUCGGAUCCUGCCCGAGGUCGGUGACACUACAACAAAAACCCACCUUUAACAACGGAUAUGUAGCAACGAAACAUAACAUGUGUUGUGGGUGGUCCACCACCUCCCACCUCCCACGAAGAGGUAACCUUCCCGUACUCAUCUCCACAUUAUCUGGAAGUACCACCCCCUCCAAAUAUCACGCAACAAAAAAGAGUGAAAUCUUUUAUAUCAACAACCUCUCUGCGCUUCUCUCUUCUCUUCUUUCAAAAAAAAAAANNNNNNNNNNNNNNNNNNNNNNNNNNNNNNNNNNNNNNNNNNNNNNNNNNNNNNNNNNNNNNNNNNNNNNNNNNNNNNNNNNNNNNNNNNNNNNNNNNNNNNNNNNNNNNNNNNNNNNNNNNNNNNNNNNNNNNNNNNNNNNNNNNNNNNNNNNNNNNNNNNNNNNNNNNNNNNNNNNNNNNNNNNNNNNNNNNNNNNNNNNNNNNNNNNNNAAAAAAACAACCUCUCUGCGCUGAUUGGGUGAUUCCUUUCUCACGAGCUUCGUGGCCACAAAAGCUGCCGCCACAAACUCUGACUCCGGCUAGAUCCAGUGCUCUUCUGCGCCACCGCUCACCAUCCCAUUCCCCCUUACUGCUUUUCUCUGUUCUUGUCCCGCGGCGAGUUCCUCCGUGCUGCCGCUCAACCUCCCGGCUCCGCCUUACUGCUCUCCUCCGAUCCCCAGCCGCCGCGACGUCCUCCGCUCCCCUGCUCACCCGCUCAUGGGCUCGGGAACCCCUCACUGCUAUCCUCUGAUCCAUUGCCGCGGCGACGUCAUCCACGCCCCUGCACGCGCCCCCGCAGGAACCCUAGCCGCCAUGGUUUGCUAGCGCGGCUCCCACGUCUCCUCUCGUUUGUCUGCCCACUACCCCGCGUGCGGCUGCCGGCUCGGGCUCGGCCGUGCUGUUCCACAUCGAGUCCUUGACCGUCCUGUUCCACAUCCUCGACUACCUCGACCGAUGGCAGACGGUUCAGUUUUCAGUAAGGCCUUCCUCCUUCGAAUAAUGUUUGCACAAUGUUGAGAUAAUGGGAACUGACCCGGAUCAAAAAAUGAUUUUGAAGCAGCAUACAUCAUUUGGACUUAUUGAUGGAUUCUUUCAUUUUCUGCUAGAUUUAUUCAGCAUAUUCUUGACAAAUUUACCCUGUUUCCUAAAGAUUAUAACACAGUAAGUUCCAUGUAGGAUGUUCAAAUUCCAAUCUGUUUAUCUACAGGCUGCAGAGACAACAACGCUUCUGUGGUCACAGGCUCAAAAUUACCGCCUGUAAGAUCCCUUGUGUUAUUACUAUAUCUGCUACCUUUAUGUUGUACCAGAGAUCUUCUCUAAUAGCAGACAAUUAAAAUAAUUUGCAAUAAAUCAUCAGUGUAACACCUAGAAGCAUAUUGUCACCCCAGUUUUAGAUGUUCAGGGAUGGACUCUUUUCUUCUGUGCUUGAGCGAUUCACCACUUGUCUGUACUCUAUACCCAUUGAUUCGGGAAUAAAUUUUGUAGCAUUUCAGCAAUAGUUCUUUCUUGUGAUGCAUUAGGCUGUAAUUUUCUUGAUCCUAUGUGCGUGGAUAAUUAAUCAAUAUCUUUGUGAGGAUGAUCAUGGUAGAUUAGUUAAAUAAGUCGAUGGUACCUCCAGAUAUCCUAGUUAAUAGUCUAUACAUGAACAUGUCGUCAAAGAACAUUUCUUCAAGUAUCAGUUAAUAGGCGAGCAAUAUUAUCUAUAACAUCAUGAUUAUUUUCAAGAGACAAAAAAAACUCUCCUUAUUAGUGUUAUGAAUCCUUACAGAUUUCUGUCACACGCUUGUGUAGUACUAUAGGAAUAAGCCCACAUGCAUCUAUCUGUCCUAAUAUUUCUUUUUAUUGUAUAAUCUUUAGUUUCAUCUUCCCUCACAGGUUCUGAAGUUGACUACGUGCUUCAGCCAACAUGUGUUUGUUUGUUCUUUCUCUUAACAGGUAUAUCUUCUGGACUUGUGCAUACUGCAAUUAAGAGAUAUAAAAAUCAACACUUAUAUAAAGAGGCCCUAAAAAUAAUUUAAAGCCUCUGGAAAAUUUAAAUACUGAACUAUGUAUGUAUAAUCAAGAUUAUUGGUUACCUAUUAUCAUUUAAUUGGUUCCAGAAUUCAUAUCAUUGUUCACAUAUAUAAUGUUUAGAUAAUCAUUUCUGUAGUAAAUACAUGCUGAUGGUUCAAAAUGAAUAGGCUCAUCCAAUUGUUCAAACAUCUUAGUGUUUUAAUAUGCAGCUUCUGAUCUGAACGAGUUCAGAACUCGUGCAAGCCGCAGCUGAGACAAUAGAAUGUUAUCAGUUUGCAGGAAUUUUCAAGACUUGAAGUCUCUGUGUUUGUACUUCAUAGCAUGGUGAUGUCCCAUCUGCUAGUGUUUAGUAUGAUGAUUCAUAUAGUAAGGUUAUGCAAGAUGCAAAAUUUAUUUAGUACACAGAUAUAGGUUGCAUCUGCAUUUUUAUUAGUAAACUCCUGUUGAUUUUUUUUGUAUUCACAUUAUUAGUUAGCCCCACUUCUAUAUGUAAAUCAAUGUGUAAGUCAUAUUUGUGAGCAUGUAUCACAAUACCUAAUUUAGACACACCCAAAUUUAGCCAGGUGCGCAUUAUUUUCUUUUAAGUACAAUAUCUACAUGAUUUUUUAAGGGGUUCCUCGUGUCUUACUUAGUAUGUUCUUUUGAGGUUUAUGUUACUCAGUCGACAUAUAACAUUUUGUUCAUAGGAAAACAAGAAUCAAAAGUGUUUGUCAGAUGUAGGCUAGUACUCUCCCUUUUUUUGACAGAAUAGUACUAUUUCUUUCUACAUACAGAGCUAGUAAUGUCAUGACCCUCAACCUUUCUUUGCCUUCGCCAUAACUUUCUGCUCUAUUGAUACUCUGUAUCAUAAGUUACUAAUCUUAUUCCUUUGUUUUUCUAGAUUGCCAAGAUAAAUUCAAGAUGCAUGGAUGUUGAUUGCAAGGUCAAGAAUGGCUGUUUUACCAGAUAAUUAGAAUGCCGUUUUCAAGUGUAAUGUUUCAAACAAUAUAGUUGAUUGAAUGGUCAAGAAUUUGGCUAGUACUAGAUGGUUUCACAUAUGUAAUAUUUGUAUCGUGUUCUUUGUAAUGCAAUACAUUCUUUUUAAUAUAUUAUGAGGAUUCCUGCUUAUUGUAUUCUCGCUUCUAUCCAUCUGCAUUGGGCUAAUAAUUUUGGUUCAUAGUAUAUAAGAUACCAUUAAAUUGUUUACAUAUGUCAAAGCAUCUAGCCGUUGCAAUGAUAUGGCAUGUCCAUUUGAAACUCAUUUGUGUGGGGUAGUCACCAACGCAUGUGAAGCGUUGCUAUGCUUCAGCUCUAUACGUUGUUGUUUUGCAACGCUUCUACACGUGGUUUACCAACGGAUGUAUAUAUGUUGUUGUAGACCAUUGCAACGCCACCAACGGCAACGCAUAUUAAUCCGUUGGGGUAGACCUUAGCAACGCAUAUAUGGACCUACGACAACGCAUCGAUGCGUUGCUAAAGUGUGGACUUUUUGCAUCGUGGCCGACACGGAGCUCAUCUAAGGGCACGCAUCUUCUACACCUCCAUGAAGCUCAUCCGAGGUGGGGCUCCGUCAACCACCGGCAACAUGGAGCUUGCCCAAGGCGGGACACCUACACCGCCAUGGACAGGCAGCCCAUCAAUGUUGGGGCACCAUCUACGCCAGCAUUGACGUGGAGCUUGCCUUAAGCGGGGCUUGGUCGACACUACCAUCCACGCGGAGCUUGGCCAGGGAAGGGCUCGGUCUACACUGUCGUCGAUGCGGAGCACGCCCAAGAUGUUGUGCAAUCUACGCUGUUGGACAUGCCUAAGGUCGCCAUAUACGCCAUUGGAAAAUGAGCCUUCCUGAGGUGGGAAGAACAUUUACCCUGUCGCUGACAUAGAGCUUUCCUAAAGGGGGGCGACAUCUACACCAACACAGAGCUCGCCCAAGGCGGGCGUACCUUCUACACCGCCACUGAGGCAGAGCUCAAUCUCUACACUUUUCCUGACACGAAGCCAGUCCAAGGCCACCUUGCAUGGUUUCAUGCUAAUCCUGCGUUGCCGCUUUUUGAGGCAGCAACAUCGUCAACAUCUACCCCAACAUCCACAUCGGCACACAUCAUCAACAUCCUCCUAGCACCGGCGAGGCUAUGCUAAACACCACCGACAUGUCUUUUCCUGAUGAAGCAAUCCAUAUCUUGCCAGGCACCGACGAGGCGAAGGCAAGUCAUCCAGUCCGACACCGACAAGGCAGACACCACCAGGCCGAGCACCGACGAGGCGAAGACCGCCCACUUCAUCAUAGGACAAUGACAAGACGAAGGAAUACGGCUAAGCAGAGCCGGAGUGAUGGGCGUACUGCUCUCCCUUUUCACUUCAUCACCACAUCCCCACCAACUACUACCCUCAAGCUAACGGCGCGAUCGAGGCUUUCAACAAUACGCUCGGCAAGAUACUCAAGAAGACGGUGACAAGGAAUCAUAGAGACUGGAAUGACCGUAUCUUCAAGCCCUUAUGGGUGUACCGUGUCAUAGUCCGUACGCCAAUACAGGCGACUCUGUUUUCUCUCGUUUAUGGGAGUGAGGCGGUCCUACCACUAGAGGUUCAGCUACCCUCUUUGAGGGUGGCCAUCCAAGAUGAGCUCACCCAAGACGAACAAGUACAACUGCGGUUCCAGGAGCUCGAUGCCCUUGAAGAGGGGCGACUUCAUGCCCUACAGAACCUGGAGCUUUACCGCCAGAAUAUGGUGAGAGCUUACGACAAGCUUGUCAAGCAACGCGUCUUCUGAAAAGGCGAGUUGGUCCUUGUGCUUAGGCGGCCCAUCGUCGUGACGCACAGGACGAAAGGCAAGUUCGAGCAAAAGUGGGAAGGGCCAUACGUCAUCGAGCAAGUCUACGACGGGGGAGCAUACCAGCUCGUCGAUUCCCGGGAGUCCGACCUAUGCCCCCAAUCAACGGAAGGUUCCUCAAAAAAUAUUUUUCUUAAAAUUUUGCCUCUUUUGCUUUUUCAUUGGGGAAACUUUUUCUGUGGGCUUUCGGAUCCAUGAUGCAUUCUCCUUAGCAUUUCAUGGAUAUAUCUAGUUUUCCCCAUUUUUUUAUGGACUAAGUCCAACAAAAAAUGGCUUUCCCCUAUCACACUACGCUGUUCAUUGAAGUUUCGGCUACCCUAGGACUUGUUGGAGGGCGGCACAAUGUGUCGAUUUGCAGGUGGAGCGGCUCCUAUGCCCACAAUGCAUGACACGUACCAGGUGUAUGCUUCCGAAGGCAGCAGAGAUGAUUACUUGGGCACUUCUGAGUAUUGAGAACCCACGCUCUUCAUGUUUCCCGGCAUGCCUCGUGUUCACAGAGACUCGCACUCCAGGGAAGACUAUAGGAAAAGAUCAUGGAGGGCUUCCUAACUCAACACAAGUUGGUUUGGUGCGUAGUCACAUGGCAACCCUGGGGCGCGCCACCAGAAGCCCCAGAUAAUGUGCUAGAGGGUUUUUCCUAGUCCACAGAGGUGAACAGUUCCCUUCCAAGUUCUCAAGGUGGGUCCCGAAGAAUCCUGGAAGAAGAAUCCCCAAGAAGUUUGAGCCGAAUGUCAAAACAAGUCAGUGAAGUCUGCGGCCAAUCAAUCAUCCACGUGAGCAAUAAGAUGAAAUUCUGAAAGUACAAGAAGCAAAUUCAAGAAAUAAAAUCCCAACAGUCAAAGAAGCAAUCAAGCGGUCCCAAGAAGUAAGGAACCCACUAGAAGGAAGGCGGGAGGUAACUGUUCACCACCCCUCAAUAUGCAUGAAGAAAAAUCGCCAAGCCGUUGUCCCAAAACCAUUUACCCUGAACUUAUCACACCCAAGUCUCUGGGUUCAUGGGGCGUGUGCAGGGGGCAUGCUGAGCUGUGGGAGCCCUCAGUAUGAUGAUGGGCUAGAGUGUGAAUUUUUGUUGCCUCUCGGAAGCAUCCCGAAACACGGCGUCUUCAUACACGUACACCAAAGCUAUUUAAGUUGUUGAGUUGCAAUCGUCAAGGUCUUUCGACGGUUCCCAAUGACAAGUCCUUCGGUAGCCUUCUCAGAUAUCACGCGUAUAGCUCGUGUAUAACGGGAAAGCCAACAUUUUAAAACCCACAAUUUUUUUCCCUUUCUCUUUUUCGCCUGUUUUCGUUGGUUCCUAGUUGUGCUCCUCAAACAUCUUUACAGCCGUGGAGAGGCACUCCCUGUCAUCGUCGACGGCUUUCCGACAACAACCACUACAUCAACUUACAUCAUGGGUGUUUGGGGGCAGCAAUACCCAUGUGUCCAUGACAACGCCGAAGACACCCCAGCAAGCAAUGGGCUACACCGACAUGCACGAUGGGCACCAGAAGGCAAUACCUGCGCUCACAAAGGUGGCACCGAGAUGUCUUUGUGGCCCCGUCUCCAACAACAAUGAAGCAUGGGGCAAUAUCGACCCUUCAAUCAUUCAUAAGGCCGAUGGCAUUCCGACGUACCACCAAAAUUGCCUCGCCAUGAAUGGUGUGGCGAUUCUCGAUGAAGGAGAGCUGCCGACGGUCUACCGAUGCCCCGCCUACAUCAACGCAUAAAGAUCAUGGGAGCAGUGCAACACGCCAGUGCGGCCAACGUGAAUCUGUGAAACCCUCCAGUCUAGUCGGUUGGCACUGCAACAGCAAGGCGGUCGCGACAAGAUUGGUAAAUUUUGCUUAUUCUUGUUUUCAGGAUAAGGCAUGUUAUUUCGCCAUGGAAUGAAGACGAGACAGGGUUGCCUCGUUGAUUAGCAUCGUGCCUGUUAUACGAUCCAACGAGCUCCUUAAAGAACAUAUCUGUGGAUGGACAUACCUACACUAAGACAUGUCGUUACUAAUCAAUCGGCUUCGAAAUGGCGCGCACGCUCGUCACGGAGAUGUGAACUCUGAACCGUUUUUUCAGGCUGCAUAUGAAUCAUGCGCCAAGGAAAGAGCGAGAAAUUUUCGUCGAGUCAAGCUCGAGUUGCUUCGCGCUCAAGCUCAACUCGACGAGGGGGCAUUUGUUCGACGGGUUUUUAUGCACAGCUGCAUAAUAUAAUAAUUUUAUUAGUGAGUUUUGGUGCAGGGCAAUUUAUAUGCAGAGGUAAGUACAAAAUUGUUUUAGCAUGGCACAAGCGUGCAUGGCAAGCUCCCCACGUUCUUGCACAUGCACGUGCAUGAAAUCAAACUUGGUACAAGUAAUACGUGUGCAUGCAUGUCCUGUCCACAUGCACGUAGGGUAUAUGUAGUGGUCUAGCAUUGUACAUAUAUGUAUUCGGUAUUCGGGUGUCUCGAUCGGCCGGCAAGCUCGCGUGUAUACAUACCCGAAUACCUGUUCAUGUGUAUACAUCAUGUAUGUAUGUAUUUAAGUAUCUACAGGCCGUUCGGCAAGGGCACACCUACGUAUCUGAAUACCCGAUAUACAUGUACUACGUAUCCUUCUUUUUGAUGUUCGGACAGGUACAUAAAAUAUGUGUGUGUCUUGAUGGGUGUGAACUACAUCUAGCACGUACGAGGAUUGGAAUUAUAUGACCGAGGGCAAUCGGAUCCAUACAUAUAUUCGGCAAGCCAUCAGAGUUUUGGAAACAAAUGCAACCGACCUCAAGGAUUGUCAAAGAAAGGCAUAUAUGAGGGUACGUAUCAGAUAAGUUUCCUAGUUUGGUGCAGGCUUGUGCGUCAAGAAGAAACCAUGGGAAGGAAACCUCUACUCGGAGGCUGCAACGUCGACUCGCCAACAAACCCUAGCACCUCAGCCUAUAAAUACAUGAGGAGGCAGAGCACGGAGGAGGCUCAGGCAGAAAGGAAAGCCCACGCAGCCAACAAGCCAGAACCCACGCAAAAGAGCAGCACGGCGGCCGCGGAAGAUGUGCCCAAUGCAAACGAGGUUUUGAACUGGAAAGGCAGGAGAAGAAGAGGCGUGGGAGGCAGCAUCGACGAGAGGAGAAGCACCCGUGGUGCAGCGUCAAGGAGAUCCGGCGGACGCGCACCACGUCGGAGAUGGCGCUGGCUACGUUCCAAGCUAUGUGAUGGGCCGACGGCUGCGACGGGGGCGCUGCAAGGCGCGGCCUACGUGUUCGCUGCCACGUGCUGAUCGCAGCGGCGCCGGGCGGAAGCUUCGCGACAGUAGAGAAGAAGAACGCGUCCGCGGGGACGGCGGCAGUGGCCGCGUUGCCGAUGGCAAGCAGACACUCGGCGAGAUGAAGAACAGGCAGCAACGCAUGCCUUGCUGACUCCUUUGAUAUAUAGUAUAUAUGUGUGUGUGUUUUUGUCAGUCAGGUUUCACGCGAGAGGCACGCGGGACGGCUCGCGCACUAGGAGGGACCUGCCACCGCAACGAAGGGAGACCCAGGAGAUGCGCGCCCGUGGUGGUGGCGUUCAGAAAAUCUGGAUGGAUAUGCCACCCAGCAAGAGAUGACGUCCGCAGCUGCGGCAACGGUGCGGCCGAUCAGACGAUGCCCUCAUCUAUUUGUUUGUUUCUUUGUCUCAAUGUUUUAUCAGGUUUCAUGGGAGGCGCUCGCACCCUCGACGACACGCACCUGUGGUGGCAGCAUCGGGAGAGACCGCAGAAAGAGGAGAGAGAACUCACCACAUCGCAGCUAGUCGGCGGAAGAUCACGUCGCAGCAACCCACCUAUGCAGCCAACGCACCAAGACGCACGCAGUGCCGUGUAUCAUUGAGGAGACGUGCCCUGGCGGCAGCUUCGAGGUAUCGAGGAGAAAGGACGCGCCCGUGGCGGUGGCACGGGCGCCGAGCAUCGGUGUGGCAGCCGCCAUGCACAUAUGAGGAUGUACUCCAAGUGGGUAACCGAGCAUCCAGGAGGGCGCAUACACCAUGCGCAACGACGCUACAAUAAUUUUUUUUUUCUGUGUUAUCAUCUAUUUUGCAGAAUGACCUUUGCACGACGCGCCUAUCAGAGGUGGCCGAGGACGAUGCAACGCUCUUCUUAGGAGCAGUUGAGGAGGCGAAUGACGCGCCCAACCAAGGUGCCCGCGGAGGAAGAGGUGCUCUUCUUAUACAUGUUUCGUCGAGGCGGCGGACGACGCGCCCAGCGAAGGUGGCCGCGGAUGAAGAGGCGCUCUUCUCGUACCAGGUGUUGUCGAGGCGGCGGACGACGCGCCCAACGGAGGUGGCCGCGGACGAAGCAGCGCUCUUUCUCAUACCAGAUGCAAUGAAGACGGCGGCGCCCUCGCGCACACGAAUGCAUGCUAGAACAAGGUGGUCAUCGCCUACUUCUUCAACCCCGGUGACAAGGAGACAAGGAGCUCGCCGCAGCCACCGCCAUCAAGCCGGUGCUGCAGAAGAUAGUGUCGUGGAGCUUGAGGGACGCUGCCAGCGUCCACUUCGUCAAGAUAGUGACUCGGUGGAUGGCGACAUGGAGCUCGCCCGGACGACGCUCCGUCGUCUUUUUCAUCAAGACGACGCCAUAGAGGACGGAGACGUGGAGCCCAAAGAUGCCGCCACCGUGCAAUGGAGGAUGGAGGCGCGGAGCUCGCCAAGACGACGUCCAUCAUCAACAUCAACAAGCUGGUGCUGCGGUGGACGGAGGCGUGGAGCUCGCAGGACGACACCACCGAUGUCUACCUCAUCCAGACGGAGCGCGCGACGCGGAGUCCAUGAAGAUGACACACGCCCCCGGUGCUGCCCGCAACAUGGAGCCCACGAAACGAAGAAGAUGGUGCUACGCGAUGACACGUCUUCACCGACCCUUACCACGAUCAUGUGAUGUGUUUCCUUUGUCUUGGCGGACCACCGAAUACGGCGUCCAGGCAAGAUGAGGUGCACUCUUCAUGGCGUACAACACUCGGCGUAGAGGCAGCGUCCCCCUUGUCUUAGCAGACCACCGAAUACGGCGUCUAGCUAGGACGGGGUAUCAACCGCACCUUUCCAUGAUGUCACCUUUCUUCGGCACCGCGAUGCUUUGCCCUUGUCUUGUUGGAGCACCGAAUACGGCGUCCUGCCGAGACAAGGUGCACUCUUCAUGGCAUAAAGGUUUCACCAUACAGGCGGUUUGCUCCUUGUCUAGCAGACCACCGAAUACGGCGUCCAGCCGAGACAAGGUGCACUCUUCAUGGCAUAAAGGUUUCACCAUACAGGCGGUGUGCUCCUUGUCUAGCAGACCACCGAAUACGGCGUCUAGUUGAGACGAGGCAUCAACAUGCCCCUCUAAGACGUUACCUCUGACGGCCUUGUGUGGCGGAGUCUUUGUCUCCGCAGAUUGCCGUAACCUCGUCCUCUUGUCGAGACGAGACACCAACCACACCGGCCAUGCCGAUGCGAGCGUGCGUUGGUUUUACACUGACGAUAAUAUCCACAAAAGAAUACUCCCGUGAGGCAACCCCUUGCGUACCCCGACGAAGCCGCUACAUCGUCAAGAAGUCUGAGCCGAGCAGGACCCAUGCAACUUCAACACCGACUACAUCAACACUGUCAACACCGGCUGGGCGCGACGGCGAGGGCGGACGUGGCCAGCACAAAGCCAUGUUUUGAGCGGCACAUGUACCGACGAGGACACGGGCUUUGCCGCCGCCCACACCUACACACGCCAUCAUCAUCAUGCAUAGAGAACGCGAAGCGAAGACGACCACACGGCUUAAUCGGAGGUAUCUCGCGGAGCAACCCGCGGGAGUAAUUAACCGGGAGCUUUUCGGGGCCCCGGGAACCAGGAGACCGCACAUCGCCAUAGUCAGGCAGGCCGCGCUAGUAGGCCACGGAGCACAACCAUUUUUUAUGGGAUCUUUUAAUUUUGUUCAUCCAAAGAGAUAAAUGAAAUACUUGUUUCCUGUACCACUUUUCUUUGUGUACUACGGUACACUGGCACGCCCGCAUUUUUUUAUUGUUCCCCGGCGCAUGAGAGAAAUCCAUACUCCUUCCCUUUCCUUCAUCCCGAGCGUUUUAAGAUUUUUCUCGUGUCAAACAAAUUGGCACGCCCGGUGGGACCUGGUUUUCCUCCCAUCUUUGCUUCGUUGUGGUCAUCGAAAUCGUCUUCACCCAUCUCCCAGUUUGUAUAGCACGGUGCAUGUUAAAGAAUCGGCAGGGGGCUCCGCUGAUCAAGGUGUGUUUCAAGAUGGUGGACUUUCCCGUGGCAGCAACUCGAGCCGGUGGUGAUUCAACUUGGAUCAAUACCGUCCAUGACCGUCAUCGAGCUUGGCGCCAAAGUCUACGUGCACCAAGUCUCGAAAUCUGCUUAGUUUCAAACUACGAGUCCAAGAAGGUGCAAAGGCGGGCAACACCCAAGGCAAAGAAGGUGCAUCGUUGAGCUUAUGCUCAAGCCUCGCCCUAUUGAAGGAGUCAACAUGGGAGGACAUCCGUGGAGAUGUGGAGGGAGCUCAAUGCCUCCGCUAUAAUACCACCAACAGGCGAGCAAGUGCGGCUUCCCUUCACGCCUCUACCGCGGCUUCACACUCGGAGCCGCCAACACACCAUGGUGCACCGAGGUCAAGCUGCAUGAAGGCUUGGAGGCCAUCUCCCACAACAUGCGUAGGCUCAUGGUGAAUACUUGCUUGUCCAAAAGCCCAUAUCCUCUACGCAACUAUAGGUGUGCAAGUCCCUAUAGUCUCCAUCAACAUCGAUGAGGUGCAUGGGAGGCAUGCCUCCACAACCUGGCGGUCGAUGGACGAUCAUUUCGCAACGACAAUAGGUUCUCUAUCCUCUCCUGCAAGUCAAUAACACUAGGUGGCCAGGAUUCAAAGCACGGAUCUUCACCAACUCUAGGAAAAUGUGAACAAUAUCCUUAGGCAGCACCACUAUCAAGAAGCGCCGAAUACUUCAUCAAUGCAGGUUGCAGGUAUGAUGAGGCGCCAUUCCCCAAGUCAUUGUCCUCAACAUGAACGCCUCGAUGACAGUCUUCACCAACCCACCACUUGGAGCGGGGGCAUCCUAACAGGCCCCCACGUUGGAACCGGUGGUGAAGACAUCAAGAUGAUGAGAGGAAGCCUAGACCUACUCAACGAUGGCGGCCAUGGGACCCUCCAUGGCAAACACUUCAACCACGACUUAUGUCCCAUUCUAGGCGGGGAGCUCGGUCACAACUCACAAAUCUAGGUGACGGCGGACAAGGCUACAUCAUCCACUCAGUACCAUGCGCCACCCGGGCCUCUGCAGGCGAAGGGUCGUCAAUGCAGGUGCCAACUGGGGCUCGCCCGAGGUGAUACGAGGCACAACCAAGAUGGGGUUCCAUCCACACCAUUGUUGAUAUGGAGCUCGCCCGAGGUGGGGCGCCAUCCACCCCACCACCAACGCGGGGCUUGCCCAAGGCGGGACCCAUCGACAUCACCAUCGCCGACAUGGAAUGACCCCAAGGCGGGGCACCGUCUACACCUCCGUCAACAUGGAUCUCCAUCAGACAUGUUGCCAUUUGCAACUCCCGCACCCAAGGUGGCGCGACAUCUACACUGCCUUCAUCGCGGAGCUUUCCCAAGGCGGGGCGCCAUCUACACCUUCGUUGACGUGGUGCACCCCCAAGGCGGGGCGCCGUCUACCUUCGUCAACACAAAGCUCAGCUAGGCGGGGAUCCCUUUUCACCUCCGUCAACACAGAUUUCGGUGAAGAUGGGGCACCAUCUAUACGUCGCUACCAAUGCGGAGCUAGCUCAAAGGUGGAGCACAUUCUACACCACCAUCGACAAGGAACUCGCAUAAAGUCGGGUGCCAUCUACAUGUCCUCGGAUCCUGCCCGAGGUCGGUGACACUACAACAAAAACCCACCUUUAACAACGGAUAUGUAGCAACGAAACAUAACAUGUGUUGUGGGUGGUCCACCACCUCCCACCUCCCACGAAGAGGUAACCUUCCCGUACUCAUCUCCACAUUAUCUGGAAGUACCACCCCCUCCAAAUAUCACGCAACAAAAAAGAGUGAAAUCUUUUAUAUCAACAACCUCUCUGCGCUUCUCUCUUCUCUUCUUUCAAAAAAAAAAANNNNNNNNNNNNNNNNNNNNNNNNNNNNNNNNNNNNNNNNNNNNNNNNNNNNNNNNNNNNNNNNNNNNNNNNNNNNNNNNNNNNNNNNNNNNNNNNNNNNNNNNNNNNNNNNNNNNNNNNNNNNNNNNNNNNNNNNNNNNNNNNNNNNNNNNNNNNNNNNNNNNNNNNNNNNNNNNNNNNNNNNNNNNNNNNNNNNNNNNNNNNNNNNNNNNNNNNNNNNNNNNNNNNNNNNNNNNNNNNNNNNNNNNNNNNNNNNNNNNNNNNNNNNNNNNNNNNNNNNNNNNNNNNNNNNNNNNNNNNNNNNNNNNNNNNNNNNNNNNNNNNNNNNNNNNNNNNNNNNNNNNNNNNNNNNNNNNNNNNNNNNNNNNNNNNNNNNNNNNNNNNNNNNNNNNNNNNNNNNNNNNNNNNNNNNNNNNNNNNNNNNNNNNNNNNNNNNNNNNNNNNNNNNNNNNNNNNNNNNNNNNNNNNNNNNNNNNNNNNNNNNNNNNNNNNNNNNNNNNNNNNNNNNNNNNNNNNNNNNNNNNNNNNNNNNNNNNNNNNNNNNNNNNNNNNNNNNNNNNNNNNNNNNNNNNNNNNNNNNNNNNNNNNNNNNNNNNNNNNNNNNNNNNNNNNNNNNNNNNNNNNNNNNNNNNNNNNNNNNNNNNNNNNNNNNNNNNNNNNNNNNNNNNNNNNNNNNNNNNNNNNNNNNNNNNNNNNNNNNNNNNNNNNNNNNNNNNNNNNNNNNNNNNNNNNNNNNNNNNNNNNNNNNNNNNNNNNNNNNNNNNNNNNNNNNNNNNNNNNNNNNNNNNNNNNNNNNNNNNNNNNNNNNNNNNNNNNNNNNNNNNNNNNNNNNNNNNNNNNNNNNNNNNNNNNNNNNNNNNNNNNNNNNNNNNNNNNNNNNNNNNNNNNNNNNNNNNNNNNNNNNNNNNNNNNNNNNNNNNNNNNNNNNNNNNNNNNNNNNNNNNNNNNNNNNNNNNNNNNNNNNNNNNNNNNNNNNNNNNNNNNNNNNNNNNNNNNNNNNNNNNNNNNNNNNNNNNNNNNNNNNNNNNNNNNNNNNNNNNNNNNNNNNNNNNNNNNNNNNNNNNNNNNNNNNNNNNNNNNNNNNNNNNNNNNNNNNNNNNNNNNNNNNNNNNNNNNNNNNNNNNNNNNNNNNNNNNNNNNNNNNNNNNNNNNNNNNNNNNNNNNNNNNNNNNNNNNNNNNNNNNNNNNNNNNNNNNNNNNNNNNNNNNNNNNNNNNNNNNNNNNNNNNNNNNNNNNNNNNNNNNNNNNNNNNNNNNNNNNNNNNNNNNNNNNNNNNNNNNNNNNNNNNNNNNNNNNNNNNNNNNNNNNNNNNNNNNNNNNNNNNACUUGUCUGUACUCUAUACCCAUUGAUUCGGGAAUAAAUUUUGUAGCAUUUCAGCAAUAGUUCUUUCUUGUGAUGCAUUAGGCUGUAAUUUUCUUGAUCCUAUGUGCGUGGAUAAUUAAUCAAUAUCUUUGUGAGGAUGAUCAUGGUAGAUUAGUUAAAUAAGUCGAUGGUACCUCCAGAUAUCCUAGUUAAUAGUCUAUACAUGAACAUGUCGUCAAAGAACAUUUCUUCAAGUAUCAGUUAAUAGGCGAGCAAUAUUAUCUAUAACAUCAUGAUUAUUUUCAAGAGACAAAAAAAACUCUCCUUAUUAGUGUUAUGAAUCCUUACAGAUUUCUGUCACACGCUUGUGUAGUACUAUAGGAAUAAGCCCACAUGCAUCUAUCUGUCCUAAUAUUUCUUUUUAUUGUAUAAUCUUUAGUUUCAUCUUCCCUCACAGGUUCUGAAGUUGACUACGUGCUUCAGCCAACAUGUGUUUGUUUGUUCUUUCUCUUAACAGGUAUAUCUUCUGGACUUGUGCAUACUGCAAUUAAGAGAUAUAAAAAUCAACACUUAUAUAAAGAGGCCCUAAAAAUAAUUUAAAGCCUCUGGAAAAUUUAAAUACUGAACUAUGUAUGUAUAAUCAAGAUUAUUGGUUACCUAUUAUCAUUUAAUUGGUUCCAGAAUUCAUAUCAUUGUUCACAUAUAUAAUGUUUAGAUAAUCAUUUCUGUAGUAAAUACAUGCUGAUGGUUCAAAAUGAAUAGGCUCAUCCAAUUGUUCAAACAUCUUAGUGUUUUAAUAUGCAGCUUCUGAUCUGAACGAGUUCAGAACUCGUGCAAGCCGCAGCUGAGACAAUAGAAUGUUAUCAGUUUGCAGGAAUUUUCAAGACUUGAAGUCUCUGUGUUUGUACUUCAUAGCAUGGUGAUGUCCCAUCUGCUAGUGUUUAUUAUGAUGAUUCAUAUAGUAAGGUUAUGCAAGAUGCAAAAUUUAUUUAGUACACAGAUAUAGGUUGCAUCUGCAUUUUUAUUAGUAAACUCCUGUUGAUUUUUUUGUAUUCACAUUAUUAGUUAGCCCCACUUCUAUAUGUAAAUCAAUGUGUAAGUCAUAUUUGUGAGCAUGUAUCACAAUACCUAAUUUAGACACACCCAAAUUUAGCCAGGUGCGCAUUAUUUUCUUUUAAGUACAAUAUCUACAUGAUUUUUUAAGGGGGUUCCUCGUGUCUUACUUAGUAUGUUCUUUUGAGGUUUAUGUUACUCAGUCGACAUAUAACAUUUUGUUCAUAGGAAAACAAGAAUCAAAAGUGUUUGUCAGAUGUAGGCUAGUACUCUCCCUUUUUUUGACAGAAUAGUACUAUUUCUUUCUACAUACAGAGCUAGUAAUGUCAUGACCCUCAACCUUUCUUUGCCUUCGCCAUAACUUUCUGCUCUAUUGAUACUCUGUAUCAUAAGUUACUAAUCUUAUUCCUUUGUUUUUCUAGAUUGCCAAGAUAAAUUCAAGAUGCAUGGAUGUUGAUUGCAAGGUCAAGAAUGGCUGUUUUACCAGAUAAUUAGAAUGCCGUUUUCAAGUGUAAUGUUUCAAACAAUAUAGUUGAUUGAAUGGUCAAGAAUUUGGCUAGUACUAGAUGGUUUCACAUAUGUAAUAUUUGUAUCGUGUUCUUUGUAAUGCAAUACAUUCUUUUUAAUAUAUUAUGAGGAUUCCUGCUUAUUGUAUUCUCGCUUCUAUCCAUCUGCAUUGGGCUAAUAAUUUUGGUUCAUAGCUUAUAAGAUACCAUUAAAUUGUUUACAUAUGUCAAAGCAUCUAGCCGUUGCAAUGAUAUGGCAUGUCCAUUUGAAACUCAUUUGUGUGGGGUAGUCACCAACGCAUGUGAAGCGUUGCUAUGCUUCAGCUCUAUACGUUGUUGUUUUGCAACGCUUCUACACGUGGUUUACCAACGGAUGUAUAUAUCUUGUUGUAGACCAUUGCAACGCCACCAACGGCAACGCAUAUUAAUCCGUUGGGGUAGACCUUAGCAACGCAUAUAUGGACAUACGACAACGCAUCGAUGCGUUGCUAAAGGGGGGUUCUUGUUGUAGUGUGGACUUUUUGCAUCGUGGCCGACACGGAGCUCAUCUAAGGGCACGCAUCUUCUACACCUCCAUGAAGCUCAUCCGAGGUGGGGCUCCGUCAACCACCGACAACAUGGAGCUUGCCCAAGGCGGGACACCUACACCGCCAUGGACAGGCAGCCCAUCAAUGUUGGGGCACCAUCUACGCCAGCAUUGACGUGGAGCUUGCCUUAAGCGGGGCUUGGUCGACACUACCAUCCACGCGGAGCUUGGCCAGGGAAGGGCUCGGUCUACACUGUCGUCGAUGCGGAGCAUGCCCAAGAUGUUGUGCAAUCUACGCUGUUGGACAUGCCUAAGGUCGCCAUCUACGCCAUUGGAAAAUGAGCCUUCCUGAGGUGGGAAGAACAUUUACCCUGUCGCUGACAUAGAGCUUUCCUAAAGGGGGGCGACAUCUACACCAACACAGAGCUCGCCCAAGGCGGGCGUACCUUCUACACCGCCACUGAGGCAGAGCUCAAUCUCUACACUUUUCCUGACAUGAAGCCAGUCCAAGGCCACCUUGCAUGGUUUCAUGCUAAUCCUGCGUUGCCGCUUUUUGAGGCAGCAACAUCGUCAACAUCUACCCCAACAUCCACAUCGGCACACAUCAUCAACAUCCUCCUAGCACCGGCGAGGCUAUGCUAAACACCACCGACAUGUCUUUUCCUGAUGAAGCAAUCCAUAUCUUGCCAGGCACCGACGAGGCGAAGGCAAGUCAUCCAGUCCGACACCGACAAGGCAGACACCACCAGGCCGAGCACCGACGAGGCGAAGACCGCCCACUUCAUCAUAGGACAAUGACAAGACGAAGGAAUACGGCUAAGCAGAGCCGGAGUGAUGGGCGUACUGCUCUCCCUUUUCACUUCAUCACCACAUCCCCACCAACUACUACCCUCAAGCUAACGGCGCGAUCGAGGCUUUCAACAAUACGCUCGGCAAGACACUCAAGAAGACGGUGACAAGGAAUCAUAGAGACUGGAAUGACCGUAUCUUCAAGCCCUUAUGGGCGUACCGUGUCAUAGUCCGUACGCCAAUACAGGCGACUCUGUUUUCUCUCGUUUAUGGGAGUGAGGCGGUCCUACCACUAGAGGUUCAGCUACCCUCUUUGAGGGUGGCCAUCCAAGAUGAGCUCACCCAAGACGAACAAGUACAACUGCGGUUCCAGGAGCUCGAUGCCCUUGAAGAGGGGCGACUUCAUGCCCUAUAGAACCUGGAGCUUUACCGCCAGAAUAUGGUGAGAGCUUACGACAAGCUUGUCAAGCAACGCGUCUUCUGAAAAGGCGAGUUGGUCCUUGUGCUUAGGCGGCCCAUCGUCGUGACGCACAGGACGAAAGGCAAGUUCGAGCAAAAGUGGGAAGGGCCAUACGUCAUCGAGCAAGUCUACGACGGGGGAGCAUACCAGCUCGUCGAUUCCCGGGAGUCCGACCUAUGCCCCCAAUCAACGGAAGGUUCCUCAAAAAAUAUUUUUCUUAAAAUUUUGCCUCUUUUGCUUUUUCAUUGGGGAAACUUUUUCUGUGGGCUUUCGGAUCCAUGAUGCAUUCUCCUUAGCAUUUCAUGGAUAUAUCUAGUUUCCCCCAUUUUUUUAUGGACUAAGUCCAACAAAAAAUGGUUUUCCCCUAUCACACUAGGCUGUUCAUUGAAGUUUCGGCUACCCUAGGACUUGUUGGAGGGCGGCACAAUGUGUCGAUUUGCAGGUGGAGCGGCUCCUACGCCCACAAUGCACGACACGUACCAGAUGUAUGCUUCCGAAGGCAGCGGAGAUGAUUACUUGGGCACUUCUGAGUAUUGAGAACCCACGCUCUUCAUGUUUCCCGGCAUGCCUCGUGUUCACAGAGACUCGCACUCCAGGGAAGACUAUAGGAAAAGAUCAUGGAGGGCUUCCUAACUCAACACAAGUUGGUUUGGUGCGUAGUCACAUGGCAACCCUGGGACGCGCCACCAGAAGCCCCAGAUAAUGUGCUAGAGGGUUUUUCCUAGUCUACAGAGGUGAACAGUUCCCUUCCAAGUUCUCAAGGUGGGUCCCGAAGAAUCCUGGAAGAAGAAUCCCCAAGAAGUUUGAGCCGAAUGUCAAAACAAGUCAGUGAAGUCUGCGGCCAAUCAAUCAUCCACGUGAGCAAUAAGAUGAAAUUCUGAAAGUACAAGAAGCAAAUUCAAGAAAGAAAAUCCCAACAGUCAAAGAAGCAAUCAAGCGGUCCCAAGAAGUAAGGAACCCACUAGAAGGAAAGCGGGAGGUAGCUGUUCACCACCCCUCAAUAUGCAUGAAGAAAAAUCACCAAGCCGCUGUCCCAAAACCAUUUACCCUGAACUUAUCACACCCAAGUCUCUGGGUUCAUGGGGCGUGUGCAGGGGGCAUGCUGAGCUGUGGGAGCCCUCAGUAUGAUGAUGGGCUAGAGUGUGAAUUUUUGUUGCCUCUCGGAAGCAUCCCGAAACACGGCGUCUUCAUACACGUACACCAAAGCUAUUUAAGUUGUUGAGUUGCAAUCGUCAAGGUCUUUCGACGGUUCCCAAUGACAAGUCCUUCGGUAGCCUUCUCAGAUAUCACGCGUAUAGCUCGUGUAUAACGGGAAAGCCAACAUUUUAAAACCCACAAUUUUUUUUCCCUUUCUCUUUUUCGCCUGUUUUCGUUGGUUCCUAGUUGUGCUCCUCAAACAUCUUUACAGCCGUGGAGAGGCACUCCCUGUCAUCGUCGACGGCUUUCCGACAACAACCACUACAUCAACUUACAUCAUGGGUGUUUGGGGGCAGCAAUACCCAUGUGUCCAUGACAACUCCGAAGACACCCCAGCAAGCAAUGGGCUACACCGACAUGCACGAUGGGCACCAGAAGGCAAUACCUGCGCUCACAAAGGUGGCACCGAGAUGUCUUUGUGGCCCCGUCUCCAACAACAAUGAAGCAUGGGGCAAUAUCGACCCUUCAAUCAUUCAUAAGGCCGAUGGCAUUCCGACGUACCACCAAAAUUGCCUCGCCAUGAAUGGUGUGGCGAUUCUCGAUGAAGGAGAGCUGCCGACGGUCUACCGAUGCCCCGCCUACAUCAACACAUAAAGAUCAUGGGAGCAGUGCAACACGCCAGUGCGGCCAACGUGAAUCUGUGAAACCCUCCAGUCUAGUCGGUUGGCACUGCAACAGCAAGGCGGUCGCGACAAGAUUGGUAAAUUUUGCUUAUUCUUGUUUUCAGGAUAAGGCAUAUUAUUUCGCCAUGGAAUGAAGACGAGACAGGGUUGCCUCGUUGAUUAGCAUCGUGCCUGUUAUACACGAUCCAACGAGCUCCUUAAAGAACACAUCUGUGGAUGGACAUACCUACACUAAGACAUGUCGUUACUAAUCAAUCGGCUUCGAAAUGGCGCGCACGCUCGUCACGGAGAUGUGAACUCUGAACCGUUUUUUCAGGCUGCAUAUGAAUCAUGCGCCAAGGAAAGAGCGAGGGGGCAUUUGUUCGACUGGUUUUUAUGCACAGCUGCAUAAUAUAAUAAUUUUAUUAGUGAGUUUUGGUGCAGGGCAAUUUAUAUGCAGAGGUAAGUACAAAAUUGUUUUAGCAUGGCACAAGCGUGCAUGGCAAGCUCCCCACGUUCUUGCACAUGCACGUGCAUGAAAUCAAACUUGGUACAAGUAAUACGUGUGCAUGCAUGUCCUGUCCACAUGCACGUAGGGUAUAUGUAGUGGUCUAGCAUUGUACAUAUAUGUAUUCGGUAUUCGGGUGUCUCGAUCGGCCGGCAAGCUCGCGUGUAUACAUACCCGAAUACCCGUUCAUAUGUAUACAUUAUGUAUGUAUGUAUUUAAGUAUCUACAGGCCGUUCGGCAAGGGCACACCUACGUAUCUGAAUACCCGAUAUACAUGUACUACGUAUCCUUCUUUUUGAUGUUCGGACAGGUACAUAAAAUAUGUGUGUGUCUUGAUGGGUGUGAACUACAUCUAGCACGUACGAGGAUUGGAAUUAUAUGACCGAGGGCAAUCGGAUCCAUACAUAUAUUCGGCAAGCCAUCAGAGUUUUGGAAACAAAUGCAACCGACCUUAAGGAUUGUCAAAGAAAGGCAUAUAUGAGGGUACGUAUCAGAUAAGUUUCCUAGUUUGGUGCAGGCUUGUGCGUCAAGAAGAAACCAUGGGAAGGAAACCUCUACUCGGAGGCUGCAACGUCGACUCGCCAACAAACCCUAGCACCUCAGCCUAUAAAUACAUGAGGAGGCAGAGCACGGAGGAGGCUCAGGCAGAAAGCAAAGCCCACGCAGCCAACAAGCCAGAACCCACGCAAAAGAGCAGCACGGCGGCCGCGGAAGAUGUGCCCAACGCAAACGAGGUUUUGAACUGGAAAGGCAGGAGAAGAAGAGGCGUGGGAGGCAGCAUCGACGAGAGGAGAAGCACCCGUGGUGCAGCGUCAAGGAGAUCCGGCGGACGCGCACCACGUCGGAGAUGGCGCUGGCUACGUUCCAAGCUAUGUGAUGGGCCGACGGCUGCGACGGGGGCGCUGCAAGGCGCGGCCUACAUGUUCGCUGCCACGUGCUGAUCGCAGCGGCGCCGGGCGGAAGCUUCGCGACAGUAGAGAAGAAGAACGCGUCCGCGGGGACGGCGGGAGUGGCCGCGUUGCCGAUGGCAAGCAGACACUCGGCGAGAUGAAGAACAGGCAGCAACGCAUGCCUUGCUGACUCCUUUGAUAUAUAGUAUAUAUGUGUGUGUGUUUUUGUCAGUCAGGUUUCACGCGAGAGGCACGCGGGACGGCUCGCGCACUAGGAGGGACCUGCCACCGCAACGAAGGGAGACCCAGGAGAUGCGCGCCCGUGGUGGUGGCGUUCAGAAGAUCUGGAUGGAUAUGCCACCCAGCAAGAGAUGACGUCCGCAGCUGCGGCAACGGUGCGGCCGAUCAGACGAUGCCCUCAUCUAUUUGUUUGUUUCUUUGUCUCAAUGUUUUAUCAGGUUUCAUGGGAGGCGCUCGCACCCUCGACGACACGCACCUGUGGUGGCAGCAUCGGGAGAGACCGCAGAAAGAGGAGAGAGAACUCACCACAUCGCAGCUAGUCGGCGGAAGAUCACGUCGCAGCAACCCACCUAUGCAGCCAACGCACCAAGACGCACGCAGUGCCGUGUAUCAUUGAGGCAAGAGACGUGCCCUGGCGGCAGCUUCGAGGUAUCGAGGAGAAAGGACGCUCCCGUGGCGGUGGCACGGGCGCCGAGCAUCGGUGUGGCAGCCGCCAUGCACAUAUGAGGAUGUACUCCAAGUGGGUAACCGAGCAUCCAGGAGGGCGCAUACACCAUGUGCGACGACGCUACAAUAAUUCUUUUUUUUCUGUGUUAUCAUCUAUUUUGCAGAAUGACCUCUGCACGAUGCGCCUAUCAGAGGUGGCCGAGGACGAUGCAACGCUCUUCUUAGGAGCAGUUGAGGAGGCGAAUGACGCGCCCAACCGAGGUGCCCGCGGAGGAAGAGGUGCUCUUCUUAUACAUGUGUUGUCGAGGCGGCGGACGACGCGCCCAGCGGAGGUGGCCGCGGAUAAAGAGGCGCUCUUCUCGUACCAGGUGUUGUCAAGGCGGCGGACGACGCGCCCAACGGAGGUGGCCGCGGACGAAGCGGCGCUCUUUCUCAUACCAGAUGCAAUGAAGACGGCGGCGCCCUCGCACACACGAAUGCGUGCUAGAACAAGGAGGUCAUCGCCCACUUCUUCAACCCCGGUGACAAGGAGACAAGGAGCUGGCCGCAGCCACCGCCAUCAAGCCGGUGCCGCAGAAGAUAGUGUCGUGGAGCUUGAGGGACGCUGCCAGCGUCCACUUCGUCAAGAUAGUGACUCGAUGGAUGGCGACAUGGAGCUCGCCCGGACGACGCUCCGUCGUCUUCUUCAUCAAGACGGCGCCAUAGAGGACGAAGACGUGGAGCCCGAAAAUGCCGCCACCAUGCCAUGGAGGAUGGAGGUGCGGAGCUCGCCAAGACGACGUUCAUCAUCAACAUCAACAAGCUGGUGCUGCGGUGGACGGAGGCGUGGAGCUCGCAGGACUAGACCACCGAUGUCUACCUCAUCCAGACGGAGCGCGCGACGCGGAGUCCAUGAAGAUGACACACGCCCCCGGUGCUGCCCGCAACAUGGAGCCCACGAAACGAAGAAGAUGGUGCUACGCGAUGACACGUCUUCACCGACCCUUACCACGAUCAUGUGAUGUGUUUCCUUUGUCUUGGCGGACCACCGAAUACGGCGUCCAGCCAAGAUGAGGUGCACUCUUCAUGGCGUAUAGGACUCGGCGUAGAGGCAGCGUCCCCCUUGUCUUAGCAGACCACCGAAUACGGCUCCUAGCUAGGACGGGGUAUCAACCGCACCUUUCCAUGAUGUCACCUUUCUUCGGCACCGCGAUGCUUUGCCCUUGUCUUGUUGGACCACCGAAUACGGCGUCCUGCCGAGACAAGGUGCACUCUUCAUGGCAUAAAGGUUUCACCAUACAGGCGGUUUGCUCCUUAUCUAGCAGACCACCGAAUACGGCGUCCAGCCGAGACAAGGUGCACUCUUCAUGGCAUAAAGGUUUCACCAUACAUGCGGUGUGCUCCUUGUCUAGCAGACCACCGAAUACGGCGUCUAGUUGAGACGAGGCAUCAACACGCCCCUCUAAGACGUUACCUCUCACGACCUUGUGUGGCGGAGUCUUUGUCUCCGCAGAUUGCCGUAACCUCGGCCUCUAGUCGAGACGAGACACCAACCACACCGGCCAUGCCGAUGCGAGCGUGCGUUGGUUUUACACUGACGAUAGUUUCCACAAAAGAAUACUCCCGUGAGGCAACCCCUUGCGUACCCCGACGAAGCCGCUACAUCGUCAAGAAGUUUGAGCCGAGCAGGACCCAUGCAACUUCAACACCGACUACAUCAACAUUGUCAACACCGACUAGGCGCGACGGCGAGGGCGGACGUGGCCAGCACAAAGCCAUGUUUUGAGCGGCACGUGUACCGACGAGGACACGGGCUUUGCCUCCGCCCACACCUACACACGCCAUCAUCAUCAUGCAUAGAGAACGCGAAGCGAAGACGACCACACGACUUAAUCGGAGGUAUCUCGUGGAGCAACCCGCGGGAGUAAUUAACCGGGAGCUUUUCGGGGCCCCGGGAACCAGGAGACCGCACAUCGCCAUAGUCAGGCAGGCCGCGCUAGUAGGCCACGGAGCACAACCAUUUUUUAUGGGAUCUUGUAAUUUUGUUCAUCCAAAGAGAUAAAUGAAAUACUUGUUUCCUGUACCACUUUUCUUUGUGUACUACGGUACACUGGCACGCCCGCAUUUUUUUAUUUUUCCCCGGCGCAUGAGAGAAAUCCAUACUCCUUCCCUUCCCUUCAUCCCGAGCGUUUUAAGAUUUUUCUCGUGUCAAACAGCAUGUUUGGGCUGUCAAAGUUCCUUUGAAAAUAAAAGUGUUUAUGUGGUUUGUCCAUAAACAAGUUAUUUUAACCAAGGACAACUUGAUAAAGCGUAAUUGGACAGGACCUACUAGGUGUAGUUUCUGUGAUCGGGAUGAGACAAUCAAACACCUCUUCUUUGAUUGCCCGUUGGCCAAAGUACUUUGGCAGACGGUCCACAUUACUUUUAAUAUCAAUCCACCGAAUUCUGUUAACACGUUAUUUGGGACAUGGCUUAAUGGGAUUGAGCCUGACUUAGUGAGACACAUUCGGGUUGGAGUUUGUGCUUUGAUGUGGACUAUCUGGACUUGCAGAAAUGAUUUGGUUUUUAACAGAAUAUCAUGUAUCCAUUUUUUGCAGGUUUUAUUCCGAACUUCGGCUCUGAUCCGUACCUGGUCGCUACUCACCCAGACGGAGGUCAGGGAGCAUUUGGUUACUGGGUCUUUCCGAUGGGAGAUGGUAGCUCGGGAUAUCUUCAAACGGUUUAGAUGGCGGUCAUGUAAUAGGAUAGGCAUGUAGUUUACCUAUCUAGUUUUAGCCAGCCGGUUGUGGCAUCUUCUCAUGGCUAGUGGAUGUUUCUAGCCCUUUUUGGCUCUGUGUGAGAUUUUUUUGCUUUUUAUUACUUUUGAAGACCUUGAAACCAUGUUGGCACUGCUUUAUUUGUUUAAUAAGAUAGCCGUAUGCAUCUUUCUGAUGCAGAGGCCGGGGAAUUCCCCUUUUCGAAAAAAAAUCCAGACUCCGCAGGAUAUUUAGUGUCAAAUGGUGAGACCAAUUAACUGCCUAAUAGUUGCUGCUUCAUACAAUUUUCUUGACACUACAUAAUCUAACUUUCCUUGGUCAACCAUCAUAGGUUUAUUUCACAAAUUGAUGUAAACAAACGGUCGCUUAAAGAAGUCGCUGCGUCUUGAGGAUGUCUUAAACGGCUAUCACAAGGAUAUGAUUACUCAGCCCAGAAUUUUCAAGCAUCAUGAUUGGGCAUAGUCUUAAUAAUCCGGUCGCAAUGCCAAUGAAUCAAGAAAAUAACCAGAAGGAAGACUCAUUUAAGUGCAUGUAUCAACAUAAUUUCCGCUUCUUCCUAUAUUCAUUCUUUUCUUCUCAUUAUGUUGCCAGUUUCCUACUCUGUAGGAUGUAAAAUAAUGAAAUACAUUUUUUGAUAGUUUCAUCUGUUUGUUCAAAGCAUUGGAAACAUGCAUCAACAUUUGAUGGAAAUAGCUCAAUAAUAUCAAUUAGUAUCAACAAUCUAUAUUAUGUGAUACCUGAUAUUUGAAUCUUAUUAUACAGUACAGGCCAAUAGUGAGUGCCCAUGCAUCAUUAUGUUUUAUAUGUAUAAUGCAACCAGAUCAAUUUUCCUAUUCAGUUAUUGCAAAUCUCAGUUUAUCUUUGGGAAUUAUUAAAACUAUAGUGAAGCCCAAAUAAAAUAACUACUUCUUCCGUUCCUAAAUAAGUCUUCGUAGAAAUUCCACUAUUGAUUAGAUACGGAGCAAAAUGAGUGAAUCUACACUCUAAAUGCAUCUAUAUACAUCCGUAUGUGGUUCAUAGUGGAAUCUCUACAAAGACUUAUAUUUAGGAACGGAUGGAGUAUUUCUUAAGUAUGCUGAAUAUUAAUGGGGCUAGGGGGGCUAACGCCGAUGCCGGUCACAAGCCCGAAAAAAAAGUGGAGGGACAUAAACAAAUUAACAUUAUGCCCUUAGUUAUGAACACUGCUGUAGAGACAACAAUCGUGUAGCCCAUGAUUAGCUAGGCUUGCUAAGUUCUCCAGCCCUCAUGUAUGGUUGUAUCCCCCCCAGGGAAGUCUUGCAGUUGAUUGUCUCUGAUGCUACUAUUGUAGCAACUUAAUAAAGAGGAGGUUUAUGUGUCAAAAAAAACAUUAUGUCCUUAGUUAUGUUUGGCAUGUAUAACUUACAAUGAUCAUGUAGUUGAUGGACCUGUUAGGUUGAUCUCUAUCCCGUUCGAACCCAACGGGUCGAACGGGCCCCUGACUCGCGCCCUGAUCGGGGGCGCCCAACCAAACCAUGGUUGGUGGGCCCCUGUCGCCAGCUCAAUAUAAAGAGGUGGGGUGCUGGGGCACGUAUCACGAGGUUGACCGUGCACCACAACACCACCGACACACCAAUCCGAUCUAGGGUUUUGCGCUAGGCCGACGGGAAGCUCCGCCGCCGCCAUCUCAGUCCACAUCGCCGCCGUCUCCACACCACCAUGGCCGGCGCUGGAUCGAGUUCAUCCGCACCAGGAGAAGGUAGGUUCACCGGAUCUCCUAGCCCACUCCGAUCUAAGGAUCUAUCAAUGGUAUUAGGUAGCCAGAUCGGGCUAGAAGAUUUUCGGUAAAAGAAUACAUCAAAGAAACAGAAAGAAAUCUUCCCUCCCCAAAAGAACCCUAAACAGGGCAAAGAAAGGCAAACAAAAGAACCACAAAAGUAAACCGGAGUAUGGCCUCGGGCCUCGCCGGCAAAGAGCGCCGCCGUAAGGCCGCGCCUGUUCCUCUCGAUCCCAUCACGCAUCGGCAAGCCGAGGCGACAGGGACGAAGAACCACCCCCUACAGGGGCAAAGUACAGGCACGACCACCGAGCCGUUUGACGGCGGCGCGUUCACCAUCGAGGUGCUCGCGCACACCGGCAAAGGGGGCAGGAAGGGCGCCGCCGUAUCGCGCGCCGCUGCUCGCGGCUCUCUCUCUCUCUCCAAUAGAAGCAGGUGGUGGAUGGGUGACAAAGAGAAAGGAAGGGGGAAAGGGAAGGCUUGCACAACGCAGCUCGACGCAGUCGCCGGUAGCCGGCGUGGCCCCAUCCGCCGCACCGGGAAGGCCGGCUGUGCCCUUCUGCUCUCUCACGUUCUCUGUUGCGGGAGAUGGGGAGAGACAGAGGGAGGAAAAGGAGGUGGCUCGCGCGGCGCACGCGGCGCGGUGGCGCUUGUCGCCGUUGCUGGCGACCGGCGCGGCGCGGUGGCCCGCUGCCGGAGUGCGCGCGAGAGAAGGCAGAGGCGAGCGGCGCGCGUGGGCGGAGAGAACGAGAAUGAUGCUAGGGUUCGGGANNNNNNNNNNNNNNNNNNNNNNNNNNNNNNNNNNNNNNNNNNNNNNNNNNNNNNNNNNNNNNNNNNNNNNNNNNNNNNNNNNNNNNNNNNNNNNNNNNNNNNNNNNNNNNNNNNNNNNNNNNNNNNNNNNNNNNNNNNNNNNNNNNNNNNNNNNNNNNNNNNNNNNNNNNNNNNNNNNNNNNNNNNNNNNNNNNNNNNNNNNNNNNNNNNNNNNNNNNNNNNNNNNNNNNNNNNNNNNNNNNNNNNNNNNNNNNNNNNNNNNNNNNNNNNNNNNNNNNNNNNNNNNNNNNNNNNNNNNNNNNNNNNNNNNNNNNNNNNNNNNNNNNNNNNNNNNNNNNNNNNNNNNNNNNNNNNNNNNNNNNNNNNNNNNNNNNNNNNNNNNNNNNNNNNNNNNNNNNNNNNNNNNNNNNNNNNNNNNNNNNNNNNNNNNNNNNNNNNNNNNNNNNNNNNNNNNNNNNNNNNNNNNNNNNNNNNNNNNNNNNNCUGGCUGGUUUUGACCCAGCGAAAGCCACGCCUAUCCAUCGGAUUUGAUCGGACGACAACGAACGAAACCCUAGCGCUGUGAUGGGCCGUUGGGCCGAAAGUGGACUCACGACUAGGCUCAGGCCGCCAGCCGCCGCGGGCGCGCUGGGCGAGGCCGCGAGCCGCCGGGGGCGCGCUGGGCCGAGGCCGCAGCUUAGCCGCGCGCUAGGCUGUGUUGCAGCCAUUUAUUUUAUUUUUCUUUUCAGAGAAGAAUAGUAUUAAUUCAGAAAAAUAAAAGUUCAUGUAUUUUAUAAAGUAAAAGUUUCUAUAGAACUAAAAAAGUUCGUGAAUUUUUAUUCACGUUUUUUUCCGCUGUGUAAAUAAUUAUUAGUGCUCUUUUAAAAGAAAAUAAAAGUUUAAAAAGAAUUAUGUUUUAAGAGCAUGUUAAAGUAAUUAUUGAAAUGAAUAUGAUUAUGUUAUUUUUAUGACCAACGUUGUUAAUAACAUGAUCAUGUUUUAUUAUUGAAAUUUAAAGGUGCAUUUAUUUCUAAUAUUUUGCCCAACGGUAAUAUAGAUUUAAUUGCAUAAACAAUUGUAUGUUUAAUUUAACCAACGUUAGAUUAUUGCAUAUGAUUGUUUUAUUGAUGUCACUUAAAUUGUGAUUUCAGGAGGCUUUCACUUGAUGAGUUGCCUAAAAGAAGUUCCAACACUCAGAGGUGACAACCACACUGAGUGGAGGAAGAAAGUUGAACUGGCAUUUAUUUGUGCUGAUCUUGACUGGGUUGUGGUGAAACCACAGCCGGUCAGACCCACAGAGCCAGUAAGAGAGGCCACUGAUGAUGAUGCUGCAUGGGCUAAAAAGAAGGGGGACUAUGCUCCUUUGGAGCAGUCCUACCUCAUAGAUAACCAAAAGUGGGUCAAUGCAAACAAAAAGUGCAUGACUUUUAUAAAGAAUACAAUUGAGAGCGCCAUUGUGGGCUCCAUUCCAGAGUGCACUUCCGCAGGGGAGUUGCUUACAAAAAUAAAGAGCCAGUUCACUGGCUCUUCAAAGAUCUAUGCCACCCAGGUGUUAGAGCAACUAGUGACAGAACGCUACACAAGUGGUAGUCGUGGAAUAAGAGAGCACAUCCUCAGGAUGAGUAAUAUGACAGCAAAGCUCAAGCCCAUGGAUGCGGAUCUGGAGAUCAAACCAGCACUCCUGGUCCACCUGGUCAUGGCUUCACUGCCACAGGAGUUUGCAACUUUUGUUGUAAACUAUAAUAUGUCACCUGGAACAUGGGACAUUGAAAAGAGAAUAGCAAUGUGUGUCCAAGAAGGGGACAGACUCAAAGCCGCACAUGGUGGUUCAAUCAACUAUGUGAAGGAGUGGAAGAAAAAGAACUACAAUCAAAACAACAAAAGUUCUCCUUCAAAGAAUGGAAAAGCCCCCUAUCUGCAUCAGCAUCAACAACAACCUUUCUCAGUGGACAAAGACACGUGUCUCCACUGCAAGCAGAAAGGGCAUUACAAGAAAGACUGUGCUGCUUGGCUGAAGUCAGUCAUGGCAAAAAGAGGUAACAAUAUAGUUUCAUUUGUCAACGAAUCCUUGUAUACACAGUUUUCAAAAUCCACUUGGUGGAUUGAUUCCGGAGCAACUGUUCAUGUUGCAAAUUCUUUACAGGGAUUCCAUUCGAUGCGAACUACGCUAAGAAGCGAAAGACGCAUUGAAGUGGCAAACGGAGUUGAAGCAGAAGUUAAAGUUGUCGGUGAUAUCUCCUUGGAGUUAGCUGGCGGAUUCAAUCUUCUACUUAGAGAUGUUUUAUUUGUUCCAUCAUGUCAUAGAAACUUAAUUAGUGUUUCUUGUUUGGACAAAGAUAGUUAUGAAUGUCAUUUUGGACAUGGCAAGUGUGCCAUUUGGUAUAAUAAUGCUUAUGUGGGUGAUGCUUUACUACAUGAUGAGCUUUAUUUGUUAUCACUUCGUGAAAAAGUUUAUUCCGUUUGCAACGUGAAAGAAAAUGUUUCCGCGUCCAAUAAAAAGCAAAAGAAAAGAAAAAGAACAUUCGACUCAUUGAAAUUAUGCCACUAUCGCUUGGGCCAUAUUUCGGAGGGGAUAAUAGAAAGAUUAGUCAAAAGUGAAAUUCUUCCUCCGUUAGAAUUUUCAGACUUAGAACAAUACAUAGAUUGCGUUAAAGGAAAGUACGUAAACCAAAUCAAAAAAAGUGCAAUCCAUAGCACAGGCACACUAGAAAUCAUCCAUACUGAUAUUUGUGGACCAUUUCCGGUGAAAAGUGUGGAUGGAUAUGACUCGUUCAUAACAUUCACAGAUGAUUACUCUCGCUAUGGAUAUAUUUAUCCAAUCAAAGAAAGAUCUGAAGCAUUGGAUAAAUUUAAAAUAUUCAAAGCUGAAGUUGAAAAUUAGUAUGAUAAAAGAAUAAAGAUAGUUAGGUCCGACCAUGGGGGAGAGUACUACAGUCGGCACACUCCAUAUGGCCAAGUCCCUGGACCUUUUGCAAAGUUCUUGCAGGAGACUAGCAUAGUUGCCCAGUAUUCAAUGCCGGGCGAACCUCAGCAAAAUGGAGUAGCUGAAAGGCGCAACCGUACACUUAUGGAUAUGGUGCGCAACAUGAUGAGUUAUUCCAACUUGCCAUUGGGUUUAUGGAUGGAGGCGCUUAAAACUGCCAUUCACAUUCUCAAUAGAGUACCAAGCAAGUCGGUGCCCAAAACACCGUACGAGCUAUGGACAGGAAGGGUGCCAUCCCUACAACACUUCAGGGUGUGGGGGUGCCCUGCCGAGGCCAAAUGUUUAAUCCAAACAUUGGAAAGUUAGAUUCUAAAACAGUGAGUUGCCACUUCAUUGGCUAUCCAGACAGAUCAAAGGGUUUUCAUUUCUACUGCCCAAACAGAUAUACAAAGUUUGUAGAAACGAGACAUGCAGUCUUCUUAGAGGACGAAAUGAUGAGGGAGAGCUUGGUAGCUCGGAAAAUUGAUCUUGAGGAGAAGAGGGUGCAUGCACCUAAUCCGAUGAUUCAGGAGCCAUUUUUCUCACUACCAGUUGCAACUCCACCCAUGACAACUAUGGGGGCAGACCCGGAACCUGUCCGUCAGGAGCCGACUGAACCCGUUGUUGAGCAUGAAAGGGAGGUGCAGCAGCAAAUUUUAGAAGAAGUGCCAGAAGUUGAGGCACAGAAUGUGCCAGAAACUGAGGCCCUUAGAAGGUCUACAAGACCAAGAAAGUCAGCUAUAUCUACUGACUUUAAAGUUUAUAACACAGAAAUGGACCAUAUGGAAAAAGAUCCCACCUCAUAUGAAGAAGCCAUGAGAAGCCCUCAUUCAUCGAUGUGGAUGAAGGCAAUGGAAGACGAGAUGAAAUCAAUGAGUUCCAAAGAUGUUUGGGACUUAGAGGAAAUUCCUGAAGGAGCCAAAUCAGUAGGCUGUAAAUGGGUCUACAAAAUUAAGUAUGACUCUAAAGGGAAUAUAGAAAAAUAUAAAGCACGACUCGUGGCAAAAGGAUUUACACAAAGAGAAGGGAUAGAUUACAAAGAGACAUUUUCUCCGGUCUCAUGUAAGGAUUCCUUCAGAAUCAUAAUGGCAUUAGUUGCUCAUUUUGAUUUAGAAUUACAUCAAAUGGAUGUAAAGACGACAUUUCUCAACCGAGAUUUAAAAGAAAAUGUCUACAUGAAACAGCCCAAGGGUUUUAUCAUGGAAGGCAAGGAAAAUAUGGGAUGCCGCCUAAAGAAAUCCAUUUAUGGAUUAAAGCAAGCCUCUAGGCAGUGGUAUUUAAAGUUUAAUCAAACGAUUAAAAGUUUUGGAUUUAAAGAAAAUAUUGAGGAUAACUGCAUUUAUGCAAGGUUUAAAAAUGGGAAAUAUAUUUUCCUAAUCUUGUAUGUGGAUGACAUUCUGCUUGCUAGCAGUGAUGUUAGUCUACUUCAAGAAACAAAGAAGUUCUUAUCCUCGAAUUUUGACAUAACAGAUCUUGGUGAAGCAUCAUAUGUUUUGGGCAUAGAAAUUCAUCGAGAUAGAAACAAUGGAGUCUUAGGACUAUCGCAGAAAGCAUAUUUAGAAAAGGUUCUUAAAAAGUAUAAUAUGCAUGCGAGUAAAGCCACACCUGCUCCUAUAGUUAAGGGCGAUAGUUUUGGGAAAUUCCAAUGUCCCAAAAACCAGUACGAGAUCGAUCAAAUGAAAGGAGUACCAUAUGCUUCGGCAAUUGGCAGCUUACAGUAUGCACAAGUGUGCACUCGCCCUGACUUAGCCUUUAUCACCGGGGUACUCGGUAGAUAUCAAGAGAAUCCAGGCAUAGAGCACUAGAAGAUGGUAAAGAAAGCAUUGCGUUAUGCGCAAGGCACGAAGGACUACAUGCUAACAUACAGGAGAUCUGAUUCCCUAGAGAUAAAAGGGUAUUCAGACGCAGUUUUUGCGGGGGACAAAGAUGAUAGAAAAUCCACGUCAGGAUACGUAUUCACCGUCGCUGGGGGAGCUAUUUCGUGGAAAAGCUCCAAACAGUCGACAGUUGUAUCAUCCACGAUGUAUGCAGAAUUCAUAGCAUGCUUCGAAGCCACGGGCAGGCGAUAUGGCUAAAGAAAUUUGUACCCGACUUGAAAGUGGUAGAUUGUAUUCACAAACCACUAAAGAUGUACUGCGACAAUCAGCCCGCGGUAUUUUACGCUCAGAACAACAAGUCGAGUAAUGCUGCCAAAACAAUAGAGAUAAAGUAUUGUGUUGUGAAAGAUAAAAUCCAGGAUCAAACUAUAAGUCUCGAGCAUAUAAAGACAAAAGAUAUGCUUGCGGAUCCCUAACGAAAGGCUUACCACCCAAUGUGUUCAAGGAACACUUUGCCGGCAUGGGUUUAAGGGAAAGCCUUAUGAUUCCUGGAUAGGCCCAAAAGGAACAGAAUUUGUUUCUGAACAUAACGUAUGUUGUAGCUGUAUGAUUCUAUCGGCAAUUGAGCUGUGACGAUGAAACAUGCUCUAUGUACCAAUAUGUGAUGAAACAAAUAAACUAGAAAGUAUAAGGUUAAAAAUAAAGUUGAGAUCAAGGGGGAGAAUGUUAGGUUGAUCUCUAUCCCGUUCGAACCCAACGGGUCGAACGGGCCCCUGACUCGCGCCCUGAUCGGGGGCGCCCAACCAAACCAUGGUUGGUGGACCCCUGUCGCCAGCGCAAUAUAAAGAGGUGGGGUGCCGGGGCACGUAUCACGAGGUUGAUCGUGCACCACAACACCACCGACACACCAAUCCGAUCUAGGGUUUUGCGCUAGGCCGAUGGGAAGCUCCGCCGCCGCCAUCUCAGUCCACAUCGCCGCCGUCUCCACACCACCAUGGCCGGCGCUGGAUCGAGUUCAUCCGCACCAGGAGAAGGUAGGUUCACCGGAUCUCCUAGCCCACUCCGAUCUAAGGAUCUAUCAGGACCAGAAGUCAAUCUGAUGAAAAUCAACAUCAGACAAUAUGUAGGAGCACAAAAUACAUAAAUGGUGCAGAUUAUACUGGUGCAAUCGCACAAAAAAUCAGAAAAGGGGAAGGGAGAAGGAGGGACCUGCAGGUGGAAGAAUGCAACGCCAGAGCCGGGCUGCAGCUAUCAAGAAUGAAGACAGCGUGAUAAGAUGUCUCACUUUGGGACAACAACGACGCGUCCAGUUCGGCGCUUGUGGAUGACAAUGCCUUCAGGAAACUUCACACUCGCGCAGGAUCCAAGCUAGCUACGGGGGACGAGAUCGACACCCUCAUCGCCUCCAUGG